rnacentral:lncRNA from 1 species
UCUACUACAGUUCUAAGGUGAUCUGCAAGUACACAGAAAUUGACUUGGUGGUUUAGAACACUGAAUUAUUAUGAUGUCCAAGGGCGACAAGAUCGUGGAAUUUCACUUAUUAAACUAGUGAAGAAGUUGAUUAAAGAACACCUCCAGCUGUCAAAAAACAGAGGAAGGAAAGAACACUUUGGAAGAGAAAGAACAUGAGGAUAAUCUGAUAAUCUGACAGUCUAUGUUCUGAAAUUUCAUCCAUUUAAUGGUUAGGAAACGAACUGAAUCAAGAUCACAUGCCAAGAACUGAUCUUUUCUGCAUUAUAAACUUCAGUUUCCGUCGUGUUGAAAUUACAUCAUCAAAACAUUCAAGACAAAAAAAACAGGGGAGAGAGAAGCUUCCAGAGAAGGGAAACAGGGGAGGAAGCUUUUUCAACGCCGUCAGAAGCGCCGUUGUUUGAUUUGUUUCAUCAGACUAAAUGAGGACCCCAGCAAACGACAUGCAAGAUCCUUUCAGCUCGUUCAGCUUCUCUUGUUGGAUUCGUCUUGCUCCUCUGAAAUUCGUGAUGAUGAUGGCGAUCAACUUCUUCCCCUGUUGACUGGUCUUUCUUCUCCUCCUCUGCUCUGCCUGAAGAAGCAAAAAACGACGUCGGAGAAGAAGGAGAAGAUACCCACCAUCUCCCUUGACUCUCGCCGGAUUCCGCCGCCUGAGAAGCUUUUACUCCUCCACCCAUCUUCUUCUCUCUUCUGAAAAACCACUCUCUGCUCGGAACCUUAAAAGCUAAUCCAGAACUUGAGACGGGGGCCCUGGAGGUUUAAUUUUUCCUUGUGGUGGGAAAUUGGAGUUGCAGAGAGGGUCCAUUGAAUUAUAUAAGGUGGACAGAUGGUUGGUUUUCGUUUUAUUUUAUUUAGUUUUUUUGUUUUCUGGUUUGAAAUUGAAGAACUCGGUGGGCUGGCUGAGGUUCCAAGGUACAGGGGAGGAUGGUUAAAAGGGAAGUUCUUGAUUGACAAGGAAAUGGCUGUUUGGAGUUAAUGAGCUUUUUGUCAUAAUUACUCUCUGUGGUUGUUACUGAUUCUUCCAGCUCGUGGGUUUUCUCUAUCAGCCCAUGGAUUUUGACAUUGCUCGAUUCGGAAUUCAGGCCGGAAGUUGGGGCUCGAACAUGAUUCGAUACUGUCUUAGUCUACUAAUAAGUUAUUGGCACGAUGGUGGUAAGAGUUAUAUUUGGAUUAAAUUAAAUCUUGAACUUAGAAUCAUCUUUAACUGAAUUAAUUACUAGAGGGUUGGAUAGUAGGGUCACACAAAAAAAACAUGUCGUGUUAGUCUUUAUUUCAACCAUAAACAAUGUUGAUGGGGAUCGGCAUAUGUUGUUUUUUGAACUCUGCGCGGCACCAAAAUUUAAAGCUUUUGAGUUACAGGGAAGUAUGGUAGCAAGGCUAAAACUUAGAGGAAUUUACGGAGGGGCACCACCAAGAGUGGGACAUGCAGCAUUUAUGCUAAUGAGGUUUGGAUUUGUCUAUAUCUGAUUCGAAGUUUCGAACAUAAUUUGAAUUCCGAUUACGAUUUUUUAUGUAUAUAUUAGAAAGUUUUGGAGUUUUAGGUUACGUUGAGAUUUCGUGAGUACCAAACACGAUUAAAAAAGUUGAUUUCGUUACCGGUUGAAUUUAGCUAUAAGCAUACAAAUGACUAAACUUAGAAUGUAACUGAUAUAAUCUAUUGUCGAAAGUCCUCUAAUUUGGACUACAUUAAAACAUUUUUUUUUUCGGAUUAAAAUAUUUCGACUAUCCUCAUUUUGCUAUAUAGUAAAGAGUUAGUUUUUUUAACAAUUCAAAACCUCCAUUCUUGUAUUUCCGAAAAAACAAUAGUUACGGAACAUAUAAAAUAUCCUAUCAAAAAUGUAGUUCUCAUUAAUAAAAUUAUAUUAAUCACGGAUCUUUAUANNNNNNNNNNNNNNNNNNNNNNNNNNNNNNNNNNNNNNNNNNNNNNNNNNNNNNNNNNNNNNNNNNNNNNNNNNNNNNNNNNNNNNNNNNNNNNNNNNNNNNNNNNNNNNNNNNNNNNNNNNNNNNNNNNNNNNNNNNNNNNNNNNNNNNNNNNNNNNNNNNNNNNNNNNNNNNNNNNNNNNNNNNNNNNNNNNNNNNNNNNNNNNNNNNNNNNNNNNNNNNNNNNNNNNNNNNNNNNNNNNNNNNNNNNNNNNNNNNNNNNNNNNNNNNNNNNNNNNNGAUUAUAAAAAUUAGGGAAAGAAAAAACAAAAUAUUUUGAUAUUUUCUUGUCCCAUACCAUGAUGCUGACGUGUUAUAAUCAUGGGCCUAUUGUCCGGGCUAUCGGACGUCACAAGAGACUGGCAAACAAAUUGUGACAAAGGGCAUUUUUGUUAUUUUUAGAAGAAAUUUAAAAUUUAAAAUUCAAUAAUUUUUAAAAAUUUAAAAUUUAAAACCCAAUACUAUAAACUUUAAAUUUAAAUAUUAUUUUUAUUAAAAACUAAAAAAUAAAUUCACCCUAAUUUUAAUGAAUUUUUUUAUCCAUCAAAUUUUAUAUAUUUCUCACAAAAUUACAAUAAGGAUCUCCUUACAAAAACCCACACGCUAGUCGAACCGAAAAUAUACAUUCAACCGAGAAAGAAACAAAAACCAACCGACCAUCCGGUUCAGCUCGCACGUGAUAGCCGGCGUCACGUGUCGAAAUAAACUCAAUGUAAGCAAAAACUGUGUGCUGACUGUUGAAUCCUUGAGCUCAAUCACCGACACGUUGACACAGACGCAUUAAACAACAAUUGCAAGCUUACAACAAGAACAAAGGAAAAGACACUUCUCUCCCUGCGACAUCCCCACUCCCGACAAAUAGUCAUAUAGACGAGAGGAUAAUUACGUCAAUUCUCCCAUCAAACCUGAGCGGAAUUUCCAAAACCAGGAGCUGCCUCGAGUGAAAACCAGCAGCAGAGUUCUCCUUCUCCCACCUUAUAUAUAACUUGCCAUCCUCCUCCCAGUUUCCUUCAUCAAACUCUCUCAAAAUCAAAUCAAGUUACUCGGUGUUUUUGGAUAACAACGAAUUUUACACGAAAGAAGGGAAGGAAUUAAGAAUAUGAGUUCAACCAGCAAAGCGUGGGGGGUGGCAGCGAGCAUCGGAGCGGUGGAAGCACUGAAAGAUCAACUGGGGUUCUGUAGGUGGAACUAUGUGAUCAAAUCCGCUCAACAAUACGCUAGGAACAACGUCAGAUCGGUAUCUCAAGCUUCAUCGAAGCUUUCUGCAGCAUCGGUUUUUGACAGAGUGAAGGAAGCAGAGAAGGCUAGAAAGUCUGAAGAGUCGAUGAGGAAUGUCAUGUACUUGAGCUGUUGGGGCCCCAAUUGAUCGACCAUUUACUCUGUUUCUUUUGGAGUUUUGAUGAUUGUAAAAUCUGGCAACUUCUCUGAAGAGGGUUGAUUCCGUUUGGUGUAUAUUAGCUGAAAAUGGAAUACGAAAGACUCCUCAUUUCUUACUUCUCUGUUUCUUCUUCUUACUGAUGAAUUCUAUCUCCAUUGGAUAGAUAAACCAGAAGCUUCUAACUUUUGAGGCAUUUGGAAAGACUGGAAAUUGGGUUGUUAACAGGAUCUAAUCCAUCAAUCUUGUUCGAGGAAGCUGCAGGAUUCCGAUUAGUAGACAAUACUGAUAUCAGAUGAUAAUUAAGAAAAUUAAUGAAUGUUGGUUGAAAUCUUGCAAACUCUAAAGAGUGUUGCUUUAUUUGUAAAUAUAUUUUCAUUAAGUGCAGAUUUGCAGAGACAAGCAUGAGCGGUGACUGAUUCCAUAGUUAAUGUCGAGUUAACAUAAGAUUAAUAACAUAGUUAACAUAAGAUUAACAACAUAGUUAACAUACAAUGAAGUAACAUAAAAUUAACAUGUUCAAUAUAGUAACAUAUAGUAACAUGUAAUUAUCCUUCGGUAGCUAGGUGAUAUAUUGCUUCGAUUUCUAGCUCUGUGCCUUUAGUUCCAUUUAUUUCAUUCAGUUUGUUUCUGUAUUUAGAUUGUUUAGAACUCUAUUAUUCUAACACACACUCCCUUUUGCCACCGUGCGUCAACUUUGCUCAGUUAGAAGCAAAACCGUGUGCUGAAUCACAACAUCAUCCGCCACGUAUAACACAGCUUCUGAAGCAACCUAGUCGCGACAAAAACACAACAAGACGUAAUACCGCAGAGCUUUGGCUGGCAAAACCAGCAGCGCCAGAACUCUCUCUGUUAAAAACCAUGGCUUUCCUUUCCUCAUAAAUAAGAAACCUUUCCCCUUUCCAGUAUUCAUCAAACUCUCAAAUCCAAAGUUCAGAACCUAAACCAACUUCAAAGAAGGUAUCUUUUUGAAAGAAAAGCACAGAUAUGAGUUCAACCAGCAAGGCUUGGGCAGUUGCAGCAAGCAUUGGAGCGGUCGAAGCACUGAAAGAUCAAUUGGGAUUCUGUAGAUGGAACUACGUCAUCAGAUCGGCUCAACAGUAUGCGAGGAAUAACGUUAGAUCGGUAUCUCAAGCAUCCUCCAAGCUUUCGUCGAGUUACCCUGUUUCUGCUGCAUUGAAAGAAGUAGAAAAGGCUCAACAAUCUGAAGAAUCGUUGAGAAAAGUCAUGUACUUGAGCUGCUGGGGUGCUAAUUAAAGAAUCUUUUUGCUUAUUUUAUAGCUUUUGGUUACUGUAAAUCUGGCAGCUCUAUAGAGGGUUGCUGCAAUUUUUGUAAAGUUGAGAGGGAAAUGGAAUACAAAGAGAUGACCUUUUCUGGAUAGCUAUGAAGUUCUAUGUGUUCUUUCCACAUCUGAAUGUUUCUUUCAUGCUUCUUAUUUGGCUUCAUGAAUGUCUGAGUGGGCAAGAGCUCAACUUGAAUCCAAAUUUUGGAUUCUGUUUGAACUGUUGGAUUACUAGUGCUGGAAUUUAUGGAUCAGAAAUUUUUCAAUAACCACAACCAUAGGUUGAAUGAUCAGAUUCACUUGUUAUUAAUCCAUUUUCAUUCUCAGGCUUUUACACAGUGGUCAUGACAGUUCAACAAGGAUAAACUUUCACUGGAACAAACUCCAUCAGCCAUCAACCAACUUAAGUUAUAAUUGCAACUCUGACCUCAGUUAAACCACCAUAUGUAGUGUCAUAUUUGGGAUUUGCAGAAAGUUCUGUUCAUGUAAAGCCAUGAACCUGAAGGAUGACAUUAGCAACUAGUUAUAAACCAAGAUCAUACGAAAUCGACAGUGUACUCGGAGCUUCAGAAUUCCCAUAAACAAAGGGUAAAAACCAGCUGGUUUUUGUCUUCCUCCCCAGUUCCCUAUAGCUUAUUUUGUACUCAGCUGAUCCAAAACCAUACUCUGAAUCUGACCACAAUCCACCAAAGCUACGUCAUUACGUCAUUGUACAACAUAUCCCAUUAGUUGGUGCCCACCAAAACAAAAAGAAAACCAGGGGUGGGGUGAUCAAUACCACUGAUCAAGCCCACCAACCAAUCAAAGCUCCCAAUUCUUCUCUUAUAAAUAAACCAAACCCCUUAUCCCUUACAAUUCUCACAGCAAAAACUGAAACAAUGAGUUCAACAAGCAAAGCAUGGAUGGUGGCAGCAAGUAUUGGAGCAGUGGAGGCACUCAAGGACCAACUUGGUUUCUGCAGAUGGAAUUACAUCCUCCGAUCUGCUAAUCAGUAUGCCAAGAGCAACGUCAGAUCCAUCUCUCAGGCUAAGAAGAACAUUGCUCCUUCCUACUCUGCCGCAGAGGUUUCGAGUAGAUUGAAGAAGGCUCAGCAAUCUGAAGGGUCGUUGAGGAAAGUUAUGUACUUGAGCUGUUGGGGUCCUUACUGAUAAACAGUAGAUGGAACUUUUACACUGUUGUCCGUAGUAUAUAGUUAGAUUCAUUGGUUCUAAGCUAAGAACCCAUGUAACUUCUCAAUGAAUUGAAAUAGAAACAUUAGAAACGUUCUAUAAUUUCCGGCUUAAUAUCCAUUUAUCGUCAUUAAUCUCAUUCACAUAUUGGAUGAAUUGGUAUAGUCAUUUGUUAACUUUACAAUAAUUAAGUGGAGUUGUUUUGAUGGUAAAGUUGUGUGUUCAAUGAUUUGGAGAUUUUGUGUUCGAAUUCAGUACAUCCUACGAACAUACACUACUACAAUUACCUAUUUUUUAUCUUAUAUCGAUCGAGAGUCUCGAUUUACUUCAAUAAAAAGAGAAAAAGUUGACAGAUUAUUAAUUACUAUAAGUUCAAUGGUAUAUACGUUACUUUUAGAAGUUUGAUGUCCAUAUAUUGUUUCGACCCAAUAGAUAGGUGAUUGCAAUUGGUAUGUAUAUGGAUAUCUUUAAUACUGCUUUUUAUUAAUAAAAGUCGAAUAAAGGAGGAAUAAGGAAAGAAUAAGAGUAGAAUAACACCGGUGAUUAACGUGAUUUUCGACCUUAACAUCGACGAAUCCAUGGAAAGAAAGGGGAAUAUUAUUAGGGAUUUUUGGUGAGAGUGACGGUUUAAUUACNNNNUGACGGUUUAAUUACAUAGAAGGAGAUUAACACUCCUUAUAUACAUAAGAGUUUUGAUCAUAACGGAUCUAACCCGAUAUACAUCAAUAGCCCGUCAAAUUGAUGGUGGCUGUGCAACAUAAAUUUAUGUGCCAAAAACCAAUAUCGAACUGUAGAAAGAGACUUUGUGAAUAAGUCGGCGAUCUGAUCUUCAGAAGUAUUGUAGGCCAACUUAAUAAUUCCGUCAACGAUCAAAUCACGAAUGUAAUGUACAUGAGUCUCUAUAUAUUUUGUGUGAUCAUAAAAAACUAGAUUAAUAACUAUAUGUAUAACACUAAUGUUAUCAAAUAACUAACAAGAAUGUCGACUUCACCACCAAACUCAUCAAGCAAGCUAAUCAACAACACGAUUUAUAAGCAUAGCUCGACUUCACUUAGACUUAAGCCUAUAAUUUCCCUUACGGAAAAAAACAAAACCAACCGACUCACAUUUUGUCCGGUCGAGCCACUACCUGGUUCACUCAAUCCAUGCAACCAAUACCGUCUAACCACAACCCAAACCACCACCUCAAAAAAGACCAAACCUCUCCCUGUAUCAUCCACCCACCAACUACAAACAUAAGGCUAUUUAGGUCACUUCCACAAAAAUACCGUCUCACAAUUUCAAAACCAGGAGCUGGCCAAGCGAAAAACCAGCAGCACCCACCUCCAUGAUAAAUAACCCAUACCCGCCUUUCUCCUCUACACAAACAUCAACACACAAACAAUCAGUCAAAUCGAUCAGGAGUUUAAAACUUUUUACAGAGUGAUUUCCCAAAAAGAUGAGUUCCACGAGCAAAGCAUGGACGGUGGCGGCGAGUAUCGGAGCGGUGGAGGCGCUGAAGGACCAACUGGGUUUCUGCAGAUGGAACUAUAUCAUCAGAUCUGCUCAUCACUAUGCUAAGAGCAACGUUAGAUCCAUCUCUCAGGCGAAGAAGAGCCUUGCACCGUCAUCUGCUAAGGUUGUUUCGAGUAGGUUGAAGAAGGAGAGUCAGUCUGAAGAGUCGUUGAGGAAAGUUAUGUACUUGAGCUGCUGGGGUCCUUACUAGCUAGAGAAACAGAGAUUUUUCUGCUAUGUAAUAGUUUUAGCGGGAUGUAAAAGUUCGUAGAUAUUUGAAUCUCCUCAAUGGAAUGGAAAGCUGGGUUUUUAUUUUAUUAUGGAAAGCUUGUGAAAUCUUAGCAACUUUGAGUGAUGGAUUCAGUGGCGGAAUUGACUGUCGAAAUACAGAGCUCCUGGUUGUCUCCAAGCGUCUGGCUUUUCCAUGUCGUAUAUAUAACCAGCCCGUGCACUUCCCUUCUCCAAACCAAAAAACCAAACACAACCCAGAUUCCAAAUCAAGAUUUCAACACCAACCACAAGAAAAUUCAAAUUCAAAUUAAACAUCAGAUCGACGAGCAGAGCAUGGAUGGCGGCUGUGGCUGUGGGAGCAAUGGAGGCACUGAAGGACCGAGGGCUAUGCAGAUGUAAUUAUGCUUUCAGAUCGAUAAAAAAGAAUGUUAAGAGUAAGAUCAUUAGAUCAUCGAUGAAGAUUUCUGCAAGUAGGAAGGUUGCUGUGGGGAAAAGCCGAAAAGGAAGAGAGAAACAGAGGAGUCUCUCAAGACUGUAAUGUACUUGAGUUGUUGGGGUGCUUACAACUAAGUUUAUUAGAUCUGAGUUAUGGAUAUGAAGAAUGAUCAAUAUCAGUUUUGACUGUGAAAUUUCGUUUGCUGAUCAAAUAUCAAUGAUCAUCCUCCUCUGCAAAUUUCCCAUUGUUUGGUCAGGUCUAAUCAUUCUGAUGAUCCUGUCCAAAACUGGUAGAAGCUUCAGGAUGAAGUAAAAAUAAACCUGAGUCCAUAGGAGAAUGAUAUUCUUGGCUUGGAAAUUUUGAAGAUGGUCCAUUAAUCCGUUUUGCAGUAGGAUUCUAUAACUUUACAAUAGGAAAGUAGGUUACAUUUAUGGCUGUCAAGCACUAUACUCCCUCCACUGAAUUUCGUAACUCUCUCGACUACACACUCUUCUCGUGUUAGUAUCAUAUAGCGUCCUCAUAUACGUGUUGGGCGACGUUUCUUCAUCUUAUGAGGCAAUCCUUCAUGUGUUGAAGGAUUGUUCUUUUUGCUCUUAUCAUUUGGACUCAACUUGCUCUUCCUUACAAAGAUUUUACGUUCUUCAAAACACCAUUCAUAACAUAUAUCAUAUCACCUCGAAUCUAACACCAGACUUACAAGUUAUUGUAACAACGUAUCUUUGGAUCGACGAGUAUUGUAGUGAAUGCCUCUAUACUUAUAUUAACUCGCAUUAAGCACGAAAUGUUAAAAACAAAAACCAUUACCUCGAUCGAUAGGUGAAAUCUCAAAGGACUCACUAAAUCCAAAAGACCACAACAGAACAAGCACCUUCCUCGGCUCGACGGUGUGGAUUUUCCGCCGCCAAAAUUCAGGGGAGGAGACUGACAGCAAGACGACAAAAAAACCAGCCCGCCGGUUAGCCAAAACCAAAUGCCCUCACACAGUCGGCAAUGGGCGAAAAACCACAACCUAGAAAAUGUAACGUAGCACCCUUUUUUCAAGCUCCAUAAUCAUUUCAGGACCAUGUCACGUACAUCGUACCACAGCCGUAUACAUAUAAAUAACAUCAUCAAUCCUCUGUUUUGUACAACUUGCCAUUCGAUCUCAUUCUUAAUUAGUUACAAGAUUAGUACUAGUAAUGAGCUGGAAGGGGAAGGCGUGGACAUUCGCCGGGAGUGUGGCGACGGUGGAGGAGCGGAAAGAUAAGAACCUCCGCUCUCUAACCACCGCUGCUGCUACCGCCACGGCGGCUUCUUCGAGUACUGCUACCAAGUCGUUUCAGCAGUCGGGAAAUGAGAACGAGAGGAAGAAUAGGAAGAAGAAAGAAGUGUCGUCACAGGAGGAAUCUCUUCGGACUGUUAUGUAUUUGAGUUGUUGGGGUCCUAAUAACUAAACUAAUGUGGGUUGAUGUGUUCAUCAAUUUUGGGGCUUUCAGGGGUGAUUUUCAUCUUGAUAAUUAGACCCGUAACCCAUUGUGGCUUGUUUCGAUGGCAGAAUCAGAAAUUUGAUCCUCAUUAUGUAUUUACUAAUGCAUCAUCUAUUGCACUUCUAUAAUAUUUACAAUUUUAAGGGUUCUCAGAGCUGAUAUUAUUGGACCAAUUAUACAUUGCAGCUAGUUUCGACGGAGAAGUUAGAAAUUUAGUACUUGUUUAUGUAUUUAAUAAUGAAUUGAUUGUUAAAACGAUGAUUUGAAAUGAGUAAUUAUGGAUUUCAUAUCGUAUUUUUAUAUGUCUCCUCAAAUAAAAGUUAAUUUAUUGGUUUGAAGUUUGCACAUGCCCAUCAUACCUUGUGUUUAAAUAAAUUGUUAAUAUUGGGGAUUGUGGAGAUUCGAACACGAUUGUGUUGGUCUAAAUGCUCUGAUACCAUAUUAUAAACCGUUACAUCUCAAUAACUCGAGUUAUUAUGUUUUGACGCAGAUGACUCCACGAGAAGAAAAAAGAUAGAAAGCAAUAAACCUAAACAUCAACCCAAGGUGUAAGGACUACCGACAACAUCCCUGAAAGAUAUCCAAGAACCAGAAUGCCACAAAAUGAACGUCUCCAUUAGCUGAGCGGCGAACUGUCUUGACAGAGAAGUCAAAAAAAGCAGAUAACAACCCCAAAAUCUCUCGGAUAAUAGCUCCUUCUCAAAAGAGGAAAACGCGACCAUAAUGAAGAUGAGUCACAACGAGUUCUGCAUCCCCUUCAAAAUUCACCUAUAAAAAUUCAAAGCGACAACAUUAAAGACAAACAUCUCAAAUUAUUAAAAAAAAAUUAUUAUAAAUCUUAUACCAUUUUUUCACAUCUCGCACCGCAUCCGUUAUGCAAUGGAAUGGCAUGCUUGAAUAAUUGGCCGACAAAAUAAUUCAGAUUUAACGAUCAUAAAAGUGGAAAAACAAAUUGGAUUCAAAAAGAAAAAAAAAAUUAUUGCAUUUUUAAAUUUAGGAGUGAUUAAAGAGCCACAUGUGCCAACUCCACAAACAUGCUUUCAUCAUCACAAGUUUUCCUUUUUAUUCUCUUUUCCAUAAUCUCAAGCAAUAAUUAUUAUCCAUCAAACCUUAUUUAAUUCCCACUUAAUGGAACAUUACUGAAGAGAAAUGUCAACCCUCUUUAGCCAAUUUAAUUGCUCCAUCAAGCAACUUAAUCACUUUCUCAUCAAUAUGUUCCACUUUAACUAUCUUCUUCAAUAAUAAAUUCAAGUUUCCAAUAAACGUUAAUUUGUGAUUUCACUUUUUACUAGUAAUGAAAUUUUUUUUAUAAAUUCAAGCGCAUCAACAUUUAUUUUUCAUUCAAAAUCAAAUAAAGUUGGAAAAUUUUAAGAACGCCAUGCAACAAAUGCAAUGAUAAAGUUGGAUCAUUAAUAGAAAUAUGGUAUACAUCAAAAGAUAAAUUAUGUUAAAAGCCAGCUAAAUAGUCAACAACUUGGUUACCUUCCAGAAAAAUAUGCUCAACUUUAAUCAAUCAGUCCCGAUCCAACAUACUAAUAACGAAAGUUGAACUGCAACAUGCUAUCUGAGCUACUACAAUCACACUAUGAGAUAUCCUCUCUCCUAAGUUGUCUAUGUUCCAUUCAAGAGUCAUUGGCCGAAAUUUAUCCUAACUCUUAUUUAAAAGCCAAAAUUUCUACUUAUUUUGAUGAUCAAACAACAAAAUUACCUUAUAUGAAUAUACGAGAAAGAAUGAUCUCAACACGAGUGAUAUGUGUUUCCAAAGGUACUAGGAGAAAAUUCAAACUUUUUUUUUACUUCUUUCAAAUCUCAACUCAACUCUCUUUUACUAAUCUCGUUAUAAAAAUAUUGGUCGGACUAAUAAAUAAAUUAGACAAGUAUCAAUUUUUAAAAUAAUACGUUUUUUUAAAGAAAAAAGAGGAAAGUGAUACAAAAAGGUCCAAUUUAAAGGCGCGGAUUUAGCGUUGCUUUGUUCUUCCUCCUCUGCAACUCGGAGAAUAAGAAGAGAAGUAAAGAACCAGAGAGAGCCAAGUAAAGAAACUAAAAAGACACGAAAAGCCAGCUUCGGAUUUCCCUAAAGAAAAUGCCUUUCUGGCAAACGGCGGGAAAUGCAACUACUACAUCAUCAUCUUCAUCCUCUUCCUCUUCCAACAACACUUCUUCCACUUCUUCCGGCUCCAUGAACAGCACCGCCCACUACAACAACCGACCCUCCGCCGCCGGCGAUCAUCACGGCGGAGGAGAAAGAUCGACGUCGUCUGCGGCGGCCACGCUCUCUACUGCUACUGCCGUUUCGCUUGUGGCAAAGUCCUUAAUUCCCACCCGCAGACGGCUCAAGCUCGAUCCUGCUUCCAAGCUCUUCUUCCCUUGUAAGUAAUUUGAAACGGGUUUCUGUUCCUUUCGUCUGUGUUUUUGUUGGGUCGUUGAAAUUUCUUUAAAUUCAAGCUAAUUUUGAUUAGGUUUAGAGAAAGUUGAUAAGCUCCCCUGUUUCUGAUUUCUAGGGUCAAUGUUGUUUGAUUUUGUAGAUGAACCGGGUAAGCAAGUGAGGAGUGCGAUUGGGAUUAAGAACAUUUGCAAAUCCCCAAUUGCUUUCAAGGUAUGUAUUCAAUUGGAUGUCAGUGACUAUUUGUAGAAAUGAUGAAUGAUGAAGAACCCUAAUUUGAUAGAUCUUGCUUCUUCUGCAUUUCCAGUUAGCAAUCUUUGAUAAUUAGUAGGAUGACAGAAAAAUUUGGAACUGUUUAACAGAAAAUUAUAUGCCCUUUCUGCCAAGCUGUCAUUAAUGAUAAACAAAUUUGAUUCCUUACUUUAAUUGCUUCAUAAUUCUAUAAUGCAGUUCCAAACAACUGCGCCGAAGAGUUGUUACAUGCGUCCACCGGGAGGGAUACUUGCACCCGGUGAAAGCCUUAUUGCAACCGGUAAAACGAUCGACAUUCAUCCGAUACUUCUAACCGUUUUAUCUUUCUUUCGCUUAUGAAUUGUAUAAUGUUGAGCUUAAUCUGUACAGUGUUCAAGUUUGUGGAGCCACCGGAGAACAAUGAAAAGCAACUACUUGAUGUGAAGAGCAGAGUCAAGUUCAAGAUCAUGAGCUUGAAGGUCAAAGGAGAAAUGGAAUACGUCCCCGAGCUGGUAAUGCAAAGAUUCUCAUACACUUGUGUGUUUACAAUUCGUAAUGUAAUGUAGGAAACUUAGGAAAUGAUCUGUUUGAUUCCUUGUUUGUGAAGUUCGACGAGCAGAAAGAGCAAGUAGCAGUUGAGCAAAUACUGCGAGUCGUUUUUCUCGACCCCGAAACCCAAACCCCUGUAAGUACGCGAACAAAAAUAGCUAUCGAAAGGAUCAAACUUUACGAAUCCGAAUUGAAAUUUUGGUUUCUUUUCCUUCAAGGCAUUGCAAAAGCUCAAAAGACAGCUAGCUGAGGCGGAAGCUGAGCUCGAGAACCGGAAGAAGCCUCCAGAGGAGCCAAGCCCUCGAACUACUGCUGCCGCUGCUGCUACUGCUGCAGCUGGUGAAGGACUCGUCAUAGACGAAUGGGUAAGGACUAUCGAAAUCAACACUCAAUAGCAUUAUCUGACAUCAUUUCAUCAUAUAAUGAUUUCUUUUGGCAGAAGGAGAGGAGGGAGAGAUACUUGGCCCAGCAACAGGUUGAACUUGGUUCCAUGUAGAGUUGCUGCAUAUUUUGCCGAUUCUUUUGUUCUUGUAAACAUCGAGAGGUUUCAAUUUUUACUUUGGAAGAACAUCUGAUGCUGAUCUGUUUACAGUGCUUUGUUAAUUACUAAUUUGGUAUAUAUUCAUAAUGCAAUAUGCUGCUGGCAUCAAUCACUUUCACAGAUCAUUAUCAUGCACGUAUAAAACAGAUGAUCAAUCCACAGUUGAAAGAGAAUAAGGAAACAGAACUUAAUAAUUGAUUAUGAGCAUUAAUGGAGUCACUGUUUAUAAUGGGGUUCAAUAAUGAAAGUUCAUUAGUGAUGGUGAGAUGUCAAGUGGGAAUGAGCCAUGAUUAAAUAUUAGUGAUAAUUCUGUCUGUUUUGUCAAAAGGGAGUGUUUUCAAAAUCGGUGGUUCGACCGUAAACACUGCUCAAAACGGUUUGAUAUAAUUUUUGAUAUAAUAACAUUAUGGUUCGAUUAAUAUUUGGAAAGAUUUAANNNNNNNNNNNNNNNNNNNNNNNNNNNNNNNNNNNNNNNNNNNNNNNNNNNNNNNNNNNNNNNNNNNNNNNNNNNNNNNNNNNNNNNNNNNNNNNNNNNNNNNNNNNNNNNNAGCCUAAUAGGUACCACUUGGAUUACAAUAAAGAGCGAUAAACAAAAUAAAUGUAACGAAACAUUAACGAAAUAUUUGAAAUAUUCUGUACUGCGUGUAUCGUCAAAUCACAACAAGUACCAAAAAACUAAUCAACCAUUCACCUUUUAUUAGUGAUUUCAAUGAUACGUCUUUUAAAGGAAAAAAAAGAAUGAUAAGGGGAGAGGUGAAGGAUGAAAAAAAACGAGAAAAUGACGUGGAUGAGGGAUCGAUGAAUAUGUUGGAAAAGGAGAAGGAGAAAGAGAAGGAGAAGGAGAAGGAAAAAAGGAGGAGGAAGAGGAGAGGAUGAGGUGGAGAUAGACGAUGACUACGGUGUUAAUGGUUUUUUUUGUUGUGAUGGACAUAUGUUAUUUAUGUGUUAUCCGUAUAAUGUAUAUAUGGAUAAUAAAUUUUAUUUUGACUAUUUAUUGUUGAAUAUAUAGGAUGAAAAUGGUUCGAUUUGUGGUUAACCAUAUUACAAAUGAAGAAAAAAGUUUACCAAAACCACACCUAUUUUGUUUGCGGUUAACCACUAACAAAUUGUGAUUUCACGGUUUGGUUAGUGGUUAGUGGUUAACCACAAAACCACUUCUUUUAAAAGAAUCUGUUUUUAAUCUUAAAAAUACAAAAUUUUAGUAAAUUUGUGAACAUCACUUAAAUCAAAAUGUUAAAUAUAGUCAAGUUGAAAUGAAAAUUGGAAAAGAUAAAGGGAAUUGAAAUUAUGAAACCAAACAAGUACAUUACUAGUUCACAUUUAAAAUCUAGAAAUUAGUUAGGUCUUUUAAAAUGUAAUUUUAUUCGGUUUUAUUUUGGUUAACUAUACGGUUUGUGGUUAAACCACUAACCACAAAUGACACCAUUUUUUUAUUGCAAAAUGAACGCGGUUACUAGUUAACCAAAAACUACAAUUUUUAAUGCGAUUAGCGAUUAUAAUCAUAACCACAAAUCAAUUUCCACCCUUAUAACACAAAUAUAUAUUCAUCGGACAAAAAAAACCAUCCGCACCAAAUCGAAAGGGUGGAAAAUGGGCAUCCACCAUUGAAAUGGGGGAUCAUUACAUCUUAGGAAGUGGGAGGUGUCCUUUUCCCAUCAUCUAGUGUUGGAAUUUUGUGGCCUACUUAUCAAAUCCAACAUUUUUUUAACAUUAAAUUAUAAAUAAUCCUUUGUUGAUCGCUUAUAUAUUAUCCCAUUAAUAAUAUAAAAAUUUGGGAGGAAGGUGGGAUGAGAUUUCCUCGUCUGGUUGUCACUUUCAUUCGUUGCACUAUUGGGCCACUUGAUUCACUAGUACUCAAUUUUUUCUCUUAAUUAUUGCUCAUUUCACUUUCAACUUUAUCAAAUCACCCUUUCAAAAGGAUUAAAGUCAUCUAAUUUUGAAUUUUUUAUGACCACACCUCGUUGCGAUUUUCGUCAAAUAUACAACGCUAACAUAUUAUACUAUAGAAAAAAACGUUUCAUGUCAUAAGUCGGUCACUUUAUGUACGAUCUGAGUUACAUAUUGAUCACUUAUUUGUCAUAUUGUGACAUGUUCAGAUAAAAUUACUACGUAACAACCAUAUUUGAAUGACAUGACAUACUAACGUACCAUAUAUAUUCGAGGAAAAUCGUAUAAUAGAAUGUGUCGAAAGCGCAACAACAGUUACGUUUAGACGAUCGAGCGGUAUGAAAAGUCAAAGACGAGCCAACCGCAGCGGCCAUUUAUCCCCCAUGCAGCGAAUCGCAGUCUGCCAUUCUCUUAACCCUCCAUAACUCACCACAUGCUCCGGCCAAUUUUUGACCUUUUAAAUGAAUUAACGGCUCCGACCAAACUUCGGUGACCGGAGACGAACCGGGACACCAAGCCAUCCCAUUCGUGAACAACUGUCCCCUUCCCUUUUCCCGUCACGUGAACGAGCAGUGGGGUGGGGAUUCCUGAAUUGUCCAUCGAAAACGACAUCGUUUUAUUAUCCUCUUACGCCUACAAAUAAAUAAAAAUUUAUCAAGACGGUGACGUGUCGAUGUCUGAUUGCUACAAGAUAGAUGACUCAUGCAGCUAGCACCAAGACAAGUCCACCACCUGUACCGAUACCGGGAAGAAUAGUCCAAAACGACAUGGAAACAAGCCAAAAACGGCAUUAAAACUCACGCCUAUCAACCGAUUACCGCCUCUUCAGUCACAGACAUCAUCCGGUUCCCAGUUUCCUCCCCUGAGCUCUCUUUAAAUUCUCUGCCUCCAGCUUCGAACACUCUCAUCAAUCCAAGUUAACUCAGAAAGAACAGGGGAAUUUUGAUCCGAUCAUUUUUUGGAACCCUAAAAGGAAAAAUGAAUCAACUGAACAAAGUCUGGACGGCGGCCGCAGUAGCAGUAGCACAGGGGCAUCCGAAGGAGCAGGGGACUAAGUGGAGAUCCUGCUUGCAGUCUCUCCACCACGGCAAGAGGCAGAUGUUCUCCGGCGCCGGCGAUGGCUCCGAUCUUCGACCUCUUGCUGCUUCCGCGACGGUCGGAUCUGAUCCUUCCGACUUAGCGAGGCAGACUGACGAGUCGAUGAGACGAGUCAUGUACAUGAACUGCUGGGGACAGGUGUGAAUAUAAGACCACUGACCGCCGGUGACCGGUGAUGUUGAUCGUUGUUCAAAUCUUGUUAGUGGGUUUGUUACUAGCAAGUAAAUCCGACGACGUUGACGGAGUCAACGCUAGGACUCGCUGAGCUGGUCGAGAAGGGAGAAUCUGGAUUGUGGAUGUGAAAGUUGUAUAGACUGAUCUAAAGAUCUGAAAUUGUAGAUUACUGGAUCAAGAAAUCAAUAACACGGUUCUGGGUUUUUUAUGACAUCCCCUUUUGUUUCAUUUUAUAUCGGAUUUGCUUUGAUUUGCAACGUUAAAUUUUUGAAAUGGAAUUUGAACUUGAAGCGAUACAGAUAAGAAACCAGAGGGAAAAUGAGUUCUAAUGGCGGUGAACUCUAUUGUCCUGCAGAAGGAAACAGAAAGAAGAAUCAUUUCAUAUUUUUCAGAAGAAUCCAAAUCGAGCCCAGAGGAGUUUCUUCCAUGUCGGCAACAAAUUGCUCUAAUUCGUCUGCUUCCUCUGUUCCCCACCAUAAAUUCAGAUCGGAAAAACUUCAAAUCAUCAUCAGGAAACAAGUAAACAGAAAGGAAAAUGGCAGAUUUCAACAGCAAAGCAGCGUUCUUUCUCGCUCUGGUACUGAUAAUCUCCAACGCUGUCACCUUCUCCGCCGCCAUAAACAGCCAGCUUCCAUGUAAUAAUCCAGUUUCUUCGUCCUUGUGAAUUUAUUUUUAAUUUUUCUCUGGGACUGAUUGAUUUGCUUUGGCAGUUGAUGGAGUUGGGUAUAUGUCGCAUUUCCAGUGCCGGGAACAGUACACGGCCAAGGACGGCGAGCGGUGCUCCGAGGUAGCUCGAAAGUAUAAAAUGAGCGAUGAGUAUUUCAACUUGAUCAACCCGAAAGUGAAUUGUCCAGGGCUUCUCAAAGGGCAGCUCAUCUGCACCAAAGCUUCUGUUAAGGGUUUCAGAUGAUUGAUCAAUUCAUUGAUUCGUCGGAUUGUGUUCCACAAUGUUGUAAGCUGAUCUGAAGCAGGGGAAAUUUUGAUCCUUUUUUCUGCAGAGAUUCUGCUGUCGUUUCGUUCAGAAUGCUUCCUUUUGAGAUGUCGUUUUUGUCAUUUGAAACUUCUGCUAACUUUUUGAUUUGGAAAUGUCCCAGGUUGAAAGUUUGAUACGGAUUAACAAAUAUGAAACUACAUUUUCGACUGACUGUCUAUUGUCUCGUCUAGUAGGUGUGAGAACUUGGUCGAUGAUCGUAGCCGAAAUAAACCCAACCAUCAUCAUGUCCGAAUCCGAUCCUAUUUGAAUAGAGCUUUGAACGAAUCUAGUUUGAUUAACUGAAAUGAAAUUGAUGUAAAUAAAAUAACAUUAUAUGUGUGUGAACAUUUUAAUUAUGAGCUUAGACAUCUAAUGCUUCCGAUAAACCGAUCGUCUGAGGGUUGACCAUUUUACUCGUGACUCGGCCCAAAGAGAGUUCUCAGUUCUCAACCUCGUUCGCUUAAGGCAAUCCACUAUGCCCUAACACACGUGACACCAUCCCAGCUUGAUGGUCGAGAUCAAUCAACCGUUCAAACGAGUCCACGUAGAGGAACAUUCCUUUCAAUACGUUUCUUUCUCCUAUAUUUUCUACAUUCCCUCUCUUACCUUAUUCUUUUGAACUUACUAUCAUACACCAUAUGAUUGCAAAUGAUUAUAAUCGUCCCAUUUGUUCGAUCCUUCAAAGAUCCUCGAUUGGAAAAUGCGGUACAAAAUUGCAUUGGGAACAGCAAGAGGUUUAAUUUAUAUACACGAAAAGUGCAGAGAAUGUAUAAUCCAUUGUGACAUAAAGCCGGACAAUGUGCUAUUGGAUUCCGAGUUUCGACCCAAAGUCGCAGACUUUGGCCUGGCAAAGCUCUUUGGGAGAGAUUUUAGUCGGGUGCUAACCACCUUGAGGGGAACUAUCGGGUACAUGCCGCCCGAAUGGCUUUCGGGGGAGGCGAUUACGGCGAAAGCUGUUGGAGCUACGGGAUGGUGCUGUUGGACCUAGUAUCCGGAAUGAGAAACUCGCAACGACAUGUAUGUAUCGGUCACUACUUUCCUGUUUGGGUAGCGAAUGUGAUAAACGAAGGUGGGGAUUUGGCUGAGGUGCUGGAUCCAAGGUUACAAGGGAAUGCUGAUGGUGAAGAGUUGGAAAGAGUCUGUAGAGUUGCUGUUUGGUGCAUUCAGGACGACGAAAGUAAUCGCCCGACUAUGAGUCAGGUAGUUUACAUUCUUGAACAGGUAUUGGGAGUGGAUAUUCCUCCUGUUCCGAGUAUUCUUCUGAGAUAUGUUGAUCCUGACAGAUAGCAACAUUCUCUUCAGACUCGGUCAUUUACAGUCAGAUUAUACGAGGAUCCCUAACGAUAUAAGUCGGCCAUAUUAAGAGAAUGUAGUAAAGAAUGCAAGUACUGCUUGACAUGUAACUAUAAAGAACAGUAACAUCCCAAGGAGGCACCAUUUACUUUUCUCCCGCAAAGAAUAUCAUGAAUUUGAGACUCAAACGGAACUCACAAGAUUCUGGUCCGUUUGGUUAACAGAUAAUCACAAACACAAGCAUACAAAACUGAAGAAACCAAUGAGGUAUAUGUUCUUGAGCAGACAGAUCCUAUUGAGAUACACGAAAACAAAACACAACCAAGCAAAAAUAAUGCCAUAUAAAUACACCAAAAGAACAUACACUUAUAGCAGAAACAAACUAGGCUGUGUAAAGGAAAUCAAAUGGCCAGCUUCUUCUUCAUGAAGACCAUACAUUCCCUGUUGAUUCUAUCUUUUAUUCUGCUCUUCAUUUCCUCAGCUGAAAGCAGCAUGCACAAAGGUAAAUCAUAACCCACCAAAUGACCAAAAUGCUUUGUUUACAUGAAUUAUGGUGCUGUCCACUCGGACACAUUUGUUGGGUGUUAUUCGGUGUUUCUCACCUGCAAAAAGCUAGCUCAAGAGGGGUCUAUUUGGUUUUCGGAAGUUGUUGUCAGUAUGGACCGAUCAGAUACCAUUGUUGGGUGUUGUUGAGCCUUUUUAGUUUUACUCUCAAAACAAUAUCUCCUUCACACAUAAGUCUCUCGAUAGACGUUACCCAUCUACUUAAUGACAUUUGACCGAAUCUCUGAAGUAAUGAUACCACUACUCAAUAGCAGAAUCAGGAAGGUCUUAGAUCCUGAGCAGAAUUUCAAAUUUAGGAGUUUAACUCAUAUAACUCUACAGAAAAUUUGAUUUCGAGAAUUUUACGUAGAAUUUUACCUUGUGUGGUGGCAUAGGUUGACCCACUUCCAUAUAAGCCAUUGCCACUAUUGCUUGUUAUUAGCUCAUUCACCCAAAUGAAUUAUCGAGUGUUUCAUUACGCAUAUAAAGUGCACUCAAUCUUCUUCUAAUGCGCUCAGGCGGCUGUAAAAUCAAAUGUGUUCGAGCUGUGGCGGUGGAGGCAGGGGAUACAUGUUUCAGCAUUGCUAGAUCGAACGCAAAGAGUCUGAACUUGUUCAAAGCUCUCAACCCGAAUCUUCCUUGCAAACGCCUCUUCGUUGGAGAAUGGGUUUGCGGCCAAGGCACUGCCUGUUGAUGAUCAAUGAACCCGUGGACCAUGCGGACUUGGAGUUAUGCGUGCAUACUGGUGUAUUGGUUUGUUUAUAACCACGUCGUUGGGGAUGUUGCAUCAUGUUGAAGCAAACAUAGAGAGUAUGUUGAUGAAUAAUGAAAUAAAAUUGAUGGCUUAGCUCCAACUUAAUCCAUUUUUCUUGCAUAGAUCCAAGUCCAGGACUCAUAGUUCAUUUACUGGGGUAUUUUAUGAAUAAACCUUGCUGAUUAGAUCACCCAAACACCACGUAUGUACAUGAGCAAAAACAUAUGGAAGAUUGACGAUAAAAGCAGCACAACUGUGUUGAUAUAUGUACAGAAAUGAAGUACAACUGAAGAAAGAAAGGAUAUGAAUCACCCAGUAUAUGUUUAAGUUGAACAUAACAGGCCAGCAACUAAAACACAAUCAAAGAUGAAAAGAAGGAGAGCAUGCAAUAUCAUGAAUUUUAGACUUCAACGGGAUCUCACAAGAUUCUGGUCUUGAAGAUCUACUACAGAACGGACCUGCACAAGAUUCUGGUCUUGUAGAUUAGUCCUCGGCGACUCUUGUAACAAGGCGAGCCUCGCUUUGAUACUCGCACGCACAUCAUCUAUAUGCUUCCUGGCGCGUUGCUGGAAACCAUACCUUGGGGGUUAAUUUUUUUGGUGCUCCUUCAGUGUCCUGACUGUACACAUAUUCAAAGGGCUGCAAAUUCGAAGAUGGGACUUUAUUAUGUUAAGAAUUGGAAUGAAUACAAAACUCGAAUUUAUAUAAGAUCUUCCCCUUUGUAGACGUACUGAGCUUUCUGGCACCAAGAACUCCUCCAGAUUUCUUCCCUCUUCCCGGCUUGUUGAUGGUACCAGUGCUUGUAACUAGAGAAGAAUGGAGAGUGGAGUUGUUGUGGAUGUUGUAAUCGGCCAAUGUCCUUCCACCCUCCAGCUGAUUGCCAGCGAAUAUCAUCCUGAUCUGCCGGUCAGAGGGGAUUAUUGCUUACGUUUCAUCAUCGUCACUUUGUCGCAAUAGAGAUCAAUUGAGCAGAUGCUAAUCAUUUGUCGCAAUAGAGAUCUUUUCUUGUUUCAAUCUCAAAUUCCCAUGCAUAGAAGGAACUACCUUGGUUUUUCGUCCUUUCGGUUUUGGAGUUUUCGGUCAGUUGUAUGCAGAUUCGGUUAGUUUCUCCCGGCAGGUUGAGCACUUGUUUGGGGCUCUUCCUUUGUCUAUAGUACAAAGCUCUCUAACUAUAAUAACAAUAACUAUAGUGAAUUGUAUCGACAUAUAAAUUACAAACUAGAAUCUAAUUUACAUGCUUGCUCGGAAUAGUUAACUUAACACGUUCUUGAACCACUAAUACAAAAUUCAAAAAGGUAAACGGUACAAUUCCGAUUUAAAUGAAGUUUAAGUAUAAUUUAUAAUCAUUUAUGUAGUUGAACCGCCUAUUAAUAAGUUUAAUAAUUCAAUAUCACGAUGCGGUUUUAAUAACCAUGACAAAUAUAUCCACGCAAGCAACCACACACAAACAUACAAAAUCUAAGAGACCAACAAGGAUUGAAGACUUGUAAGUGGCAUUGUAAUCCGGACAAGUUAUAAUUAUGCAUAUAAAUACACACAACAAGUCCUUAAGAACAGCACACAUCUUAGAAUUAACAACAUCUAAUUAGUAAUUAGAAAAAACCUCCCUAAAUUACACCUUGGUUCAUCAAAUGGCUACCAAAUUCCCCAUGAAGAUCAACUCCCUCCUGGUUAUCUCCUUCAUCGUCAUGGUGCUGAUCAUGAUAUCCAUAACUGAAAGCACCGGCAGGCAUCUUCUAACCCCAGGUAUAUAUAUCGAUUCGAACUCCGGAAAUGUUACGUUAUUGUAAGUUUGUAACUCAUUAUGAAGUUUAGUAUAUAGUGAUUCGUUGUCCUUUCUUAAUGUCGUUGCAGGUUGUGAAGUAACAUGUACCAAUUGGGUGGCAGUGAAACUAGGAGAAACCUGUUCUAUAAUUUCUGAAGCCAACUCCAUGACCUUGAACAAGUUCCUAACUCUCAACCCGAAUCUGGUUUGUAAAAAUAUGUUCGCUGACGAAUGGGUUUGCAUCGAAGGCACUGGCUGUUAACCAACCAUGACGAACAACAAAAACAUUUCAUAUCGUUACGAUAUGUUCUACUUUCGAUUUCUCUUUUUUUUUGCUUUGUUGUAGCAAACAUCAAUGAUUUGACAUAAUCAUUGUAUAUCAAAGAAAUAACGUUUUGCCAUCCUUUUCUCCGGAACGAUGUCGUUUCAUCGAUGCUUUGUCGAAUCGGGCUUACUAAGCGCAAUGUAUCUAACCCAGAGAGAGACGCUCCAUGUGGGACCCAAUACAAGUCAAUAAAGUGGAGCCCUCCUUUCAAACCGUUUUUCAAAAAUCAAAUCGGAGCGUCACUCGCGAUCCGCUAACUCAGCUCAACGGUCACGAUUUCGCCUUCAUCAAGCGCCUCUCAACGGUCGAAAAAUCUUCCCAAUCAAAAUCCUCCAAUCCUUUCAGAAAGAUUGAUCGAAAUCAGAUCUCUUUCUUCUUCUUCUUCCUCUGUUCUGAAACUUCAAGAAAUAAGAAAUCGAUUCUUAGGAAAGAUGAGUGUGUUACAGUACCAAGAAGAAGAAGACGCGGAGAUGCAGAUAUGGAACAACGCAGCAUUCGAGGAUUCCAUGGCGGGGAAGGGCUCUUCGUGGUGGUCUCAGUCCAUCGAGUCGAAUUGUUCACGCAAAGAGAACUUGAACCCGGAUGCGAUUUCGGCCACUCCGUUCAAGGGUGGCAAGACAGUCAAUCCACUGAAGCAGAAACAGUUGAUUUUGUCUAGUAAGAGCUUGAUUCGUGAUGAGAAGGUGAUAGAUAUGGAAAUUGAAGAGGUUGAGAGCGAGAUUCGGGGAUUAUCGUUGAGGCUUGAAUCCCUGCGGCUGGAGAAGGCGGAGAAGCAUCUCGCGGAAAGAAGGGCCAGGAUCGUGCCGGCGAAGUUCAUGGAGCAGAAACAGAGUGUCAAGUUCGACGAGCCAAGAUUUGGUAGGAGAGGUGUUAGUUUGGGGCCGGCGGAGAUUACGUCGAGAGCGAGGAUGAUGACGAUGACAGCGACCACCCCUGUUUCUUCCACUUCGAAUCGGAGGAAGUCCUGCUUCUGGAAGCUAGACGAGAUAGACGAGCUGAAGGUGACGAAGGAGAGAGCUAAAAGCCAGAGCGUCAGUCCGAGAUCUCGGAGAACGGCAACGAAACUGCAGCCGCCGCCGAAGCAUGCUCAGACAACGGUGGGGUCAAAACGGCCGGUGAAGAAGGACGACGGAGUUCUGUCUCUGAUUCAGCCCAAGACUCUGUUUCGAGACGGAGGCGAGAAGUCGGUCAAGAAAGCGGGGCGGAUCGUGGCGAGUAGGUACAACCAAACGUCAACGACGAGUCAACGUCAGUCAACGGAGGCGAGGAAGAGGUCCCUGCCGGAGAGCGACAAGGAAGACGGGAACAAACGGCGGGCUUCUCGAGGUAACGGGUUGAAUCAGAAAACAGAGAGCGUCGUCAAACCGAAGAAGAAGUGGGAGAUUCCGGGUAAAGUGUGGGUGUUCAAAGGCAAAGAAGAAGACGAUGCUGAGGAAUCAGAGGAACUUGUUACCACUGGAUUGCGGAAGAUCAGGACGAUUCGGCCUUGUUCGACGGCGGCGACGCCUAGAAACUCAGGUGCGGCGAAAAGGGUUGCGGAUUUAGUCGGUAAAAAAUCGUUUUUCGCCAUUGAUGAGGGUGAUGUCGCUGAAGCAGAGAGGUCUGUUUGCUUGGCAUUGAGUUUUGAAGAUUAAUAGGAUUGCUUCGUUCCCCUGGUUUUAGUGAUUUGGUUUGGUGGCAGAGAACCGCCAUAAUUUUUGUUAUGGUGGAAUAGCUAAAGUUUUCUCCAUUUCCUUUUGGAUUGUGUUCUUGUUUGGUGUUUAGUUGCAAUAAUGAGAAUCAAAGCUCGUAAAUUACAACUUGGAUAUCAGUUUAUGAUCAUGAGAACCUGAUGCUUGAUAAUCUAUUAGCUAUCAGGAUCAGCAAAUCUCUGAAGAAUCCUUGGCACAGGAGGAUUUCUUAGGUGUGAAUGGUUGUACAGUUUUAUCAAAGCUCCAUUGAUAUUGAUCCUUAAACCCUAAACAGCAAAAUUCAUCCGUAUGAAAGCGCCAAUUUUGGUAGAAAAGGGUUUCUCCUGUGUAAACUGCCAAAAUAAGAACAUUGAAUCUUUUACUAAUAUGGUUACAGAACGUGACCAAUUAAAUUACAACCGUUGAUUAGUACCCUCCACGAGUUUAUUAAUGGUCUGUUUGGCAGGGAGAAUGUGAAAUGAAAUUUGGAUGGAAAUGGAAAAGUUAGCUUAUAAAAUGCAUUUUUUCCGCUUAAAAAAAAUAGUGCUCAAAAUUUCAUUUCACAUCCAACUACCAAACGAAUCAUUAAUCAAAAUUUUAAUUUCUUCAAUUUAACUAGCAGUAAAUUUUCCUAAAUAAUUUUAGGAAAGGAAUCCCUAUAAUGUAGUCUUGAAUUAACCCCACAUCCCUUUUUACCACGGCAUUAUCGGACGGCCGAGAUCUUGCAGCCUGACUGUACAGCUGGCAAGAUUUUUGCCUUUGGAAGGUUAAUUUGCUGGCUUAUUAUCCACUGUGGUCAUCAACCUAUUGAGUUUUUACAAUGUCAUCAUUAACCUCUAAAAAGUAACAUACAUUUCACUAGCUUAUUUCAACCGUAACACGUAAUUUCAUCAAUUGUCCUUUGCUAUAUUGCGUGAAGCUAACAUAUUCUAGAUUGUGUCCUAUUCACUAUGAUAUGGUAUGCUAAAUGAAACUCAUUUAACCAAUUUAAUUGAAACAUGUUAGGUACUUAGGUCUAUAAUAGAUUUUUAUUUUAUUUUGAUAGGUGGAGACAUCCACAUAGUAAACAACAAACCCAAAUCAUCCACCCGUUGACUUAGGAGUAUCAACAACACUUAUGGGUAUAUUGAAGAGUCAUACCACAAAAUGAACGGCUCAUCUACCUAGUAAAAGUAUGAUCAUCUAAAACUGAAACAUAGUUGUGGAGGUGAGCGCAUCUUAAAUCCUAACGAUCUUGUUGACAACUGUUACAUCAUACAAUACAAUUGAGAAGGGAUAGACGCAAGGUGGCCAAGGCAUACCACAAAAUAGACAACUCGAUUAUUUAACUAAAGGAUGGUCUAAAACUGAAACAUAAUUGUAGAGGUGGUUGUUUUUUAUCCUAAAGAUUUUGCCGGCCGUAAUUCCAUCAUAGAAUACAAUUGAGGGGUGGUAAGCGCACGGUGGCCGCAACAUGGAGUUGAGUCCAAGCAUGAACAAAGAUUAUAAUAGAAUAGUUGACAACUAACGUAUGAGAGAGUGACAUGGACAUAUUAUAGUGAUUUGACAUGAUAAUUUAUCAACUUAACAUAUCUUUGGGAAGGAAACUUGAAGAAAGAACCUCGUUGAUGAUCAGAUUGUUACAAACCCAACAGGUUGGUGACUACAAUGGAUAUUAAUCCUCGAAAUGUUUGCUUAAGCCUCAAUCCAACCGUCCAAAUUUUUUGUCAACAUUGACCAGCAUUAAUUAAAUAAAUAAAUAAUAUUUUUUUCUCCUUUUCACUUUCUGCCUCCCUAUUUCUAGGAAGCAAAGAGAAAGAAAACCCUCCAAAAACAGAGGAGCAAGGUUUUAGUAGGGUUUAAGCACAACAAUGAAAGGUUUCCGUACGUUCCAGGCUGCCGCCUCCAACGCUUUCCGCGACCACCCCAGAUUCUCCAAGCUCCUCGUCGUCGUCAGCGUCAGGUAACCCUUCCAGACUCAAAGAUCCCAGAUGGCCAGAUCUCUGUUUGUUCUACUACAAUGCCUUUUCCGUACGGAUUUUCAUGCGUCUGUGUUUUCUCUUUGGCAGCGGAGGAGGGUUGUUGGCGUUUUCAGAUGCGUCACCGUUCCGGCGGAUCUCUGACGAGGCAGACGGCGGACCUAAAAAGAAGCUGGUGGUGCUAGGAACCGGAUGGGGUGGUACCACUUUCCUCAAGAACCUGAAAACUUCUGCUUACGAUGUGCAAGUUGUCUCGCCUCAUAACUACUUCACGUUCACUCCUCUGCUUCCCAGCGUCACCAAUGGCACCGUCGAGGCUCGGAGCAUUGUCGAACCGAUACGAAACAUCGUCCAUGGUGUAAGUUCCUUUGUUCAGAUAUAUUGUUUCGUUCAAAUUUCCAUAGUCCGAUUUGAAAUUCAGCUGGAUUAUGCCCAAUAGAUUUAGUAUCGAUCGGAUCCGUAUGAAAAUUCUUGUACAUUCUGGGUUUAGUAGAUCUAAUUUUUCAGUUGUCUCAGAUUUGAAUAAGGGUAUGGCGGAAUUUUGAUUUUCAAAUUGAUUGCUCGGUGGUAUGUUGUUGGCAGAAACCAUACAAUGUCAAUUUUGAGGAAGCCGAGUGCUACAAGAUCGAUCCGGUGAACAAGAAGGUGUACUGCCGAUCGAACAAGGCUCAGAACGAUUUUGAAUUGGAUUAUGAUGUGUUGGUGAUAGCAAUGGGAGCUCGUGUGAACACCUUCAACACUCCUGGCGUUGAAGAACACGCUCAUUUCCUCAAGGUAUAUAUAUAUAGAACAAAUCAAAAUCCUCUCGGAAUGAAAAUUCCCGAAAUUGAAUCUAGGUUGAACCAAUGAAUUGCAGGAAGUUGACGAUGCUCAGAAGCUCAGGAGAUCUAUAAUCGACUGCUAUGAGCGAGCUAGCCUUCAUACAGUUAGCGAGGAAGACAAGAAGCGGAUCAUGCACUUUGUAGUCGUCGGUGGAGGUCCCACCGGAGUGGAGUAUGCUGCUGAGCUUCACGAUUUCGCUUCUCAGGAUUUGGCUCGAUUGUAUCCGUCUCUGAAGGAAUAUCUCAAGAUCACAUUGCUCGAAGCCGGAAACCACAUUCUGCCCAUGUACGAAAAAAUCUUGUUUUGUCGCUUUUUUCGUGUUUUGUUGACCGGUUUCUGAGUUGUGUUUUGGGUUUUUUUCUCCAGGUUUCACAAGAAAGUUACUGACUUUGCCAACGAGAAGUUCCAGAAGGAUCAGAUCGAGGUGAAGACCGGAUCGAUGGUGGUGAAAGUUUCGGACAAGGAUAUCUCCGCAAAGGAUCGAACCACAGGCCAAGUCGAGUCGAUUCCUUACGGUGUGGUUCUGUGGUCAACCGGAAUUGCUACUCGUCCUGUCAUAACCGAGUUGAUGCAGCAGAUCGGUCAGGCUGGGAAGCGGGUUAUGGCUACCGACGAAUGGCUGAAAGUUCAAGGAUGCGAGGAUGUUUAUGCUCUUGGAGAUUGUGCCUCCAUAGCUCAACGGAAAGUCUCCGAUGAUGUGCCUGCCAUAUUCAACACAGUGGACAAGAACUCGGCCGGUAGUCUAGACGCCAAGGAUUUCAAGGAGUUUGUCAACGACAUCUGUGAGAGGUACCCGCAGGUGAGGAAGUAUAUGGAGAAGAACAAACUAAAAAAUUUCGAUGCUUUGCUGAAGAAUGCUACUCAGAACCUCGACAAGAAAGUAGUUGAUAUCGAGGCGCUUAAGAAGGCUCUGUCGGAAGCUGAUUCUCAAGUGUCGAUGCUCCCCCCAACCGCUCAGGUUCUUGAUCUUUUUUCAACCACCUGCAAACUCGUUCCAAUAAAUUUAGUGUUUACUCGAUUAUGAUACUACGUUUUGAUUUUGAUUUUUUGACCAGGUUGCUGCUCAACAAGGUGAAUAUCUAGCAGAUUGUUUCAACAGGGCUAAACGUUGCGAAAAGAAUCCUGAAGGUCCUGUCAGGUUUCAGGAAAAUGGCCGAUAUGCCCUCCAUCCUUUCAGGUACAUGAUUUUUCCUUAUCUAUAUGCUUUCCAUUGAGUAACGGUCUAACCGAAACAUCUCCGGUUCAUAGUUACAAACAUUCUGGACAAUUUGCUCCACUGGGAGGGGAGAAAGCUGCUGUUCAGUUCCCCGGAGACUGGGUUUCCAUUGGCCAUGCAAGUCAAGGUCUCUGGUACACAGUCUAUGCAAGGUAAAAAAGAAAACUACGAUCCCUAAAAAUCGUUGCAUUUCUAUCUCCAUCGUGAUGAUCCAUCUUUUUUACGCCUCUGUUUUGAAUAUAUUCCAGCAAGCUUGUGACCUGGCGCACGAAGGUCCUGGUCGUGUCCGACUGGUUCAGGAGGUUCACAUUCGGUCGGGAUUCAAGUGCUCUUUGAGUUUACACAGCAGCAUUAUAAUGGAUAGGCUAAUGGAUUUGUUGCUCGACAAGUUUUGUCCUUUAAAGCCCUUAGCAGAAGUUUCUUCUGGUUUUGGCUAAGUUUUGAUGGUUUUUCUUUUAUCUGUUUGUCAUUGUGACUUGUGAUGAACAAAGAACAUGAGCCAUAUUGGCUGUGGUUGGAUGCAGUUUUGGGUUUCAUAAAUCAAUUACAACUUACGACGAAAAGAAUACGAAUUAUACCUCAUACAGUAUUUACUAGGAGGUGCAUCAAGCAUCAAAUACGGCUGGAGUCUCUACCGAAAAUGUAUCUUCGAGUCCAGUCGGAUACGACCAAGUAUCGUGUACGCCAGCUGACUUGCUUGCUGAAACAUCAUAAUAUCCAGAAUGAUGUCAGUCAUGGAUAUAACUGAGCUGAGAAACUAUUCUGAGACACAGUAGUUACCUGGCGUAGACCGAAUACCAGAGCCACUGAGUACUGUGACCCAUGGAAACCCAGUCACCAGGAAGUUCAGCAGCGGCUUGCUCUCCUCCCAAAGGCGCAAACUGCCCUAAAUGCUUGUACCUUGCAUUCAAAAGGAUCCCAGCAGAUUCAUGUUUUAGUACAUUUCGCCCGCGCCAUACUGGUCGAUAGUACCAGUUUACUGAAAGACCAAACUAGUAUGAUUAAUACCGGAAGGGAGCAAAGAAAUGACGGCCUCCAGCACGUGCAAACCGACGAGGACCUUCAGGAUGCUCCUUGCACUGGUCUUUCCUGUUGAAGCAUCUCGCGAGGUAUUUGCCUUGUUGUGCAGCAACCUGGAUGUAGAACUCUCAUUGAGCAUGGACAUUGACACAAAUGCAAGUAGAUAGGAGUAGUACCUGUGCAGUUGCAGGUAGACUAGUGGUCUGUGAAUCAACUAGACGGAUGGCCUUCUUGAAACCUUCAAUGUCGAUUUCUUUCUUGUCAUCGGUCAGUGCAUCUUUCAACAGAUCCGUCACUGCUCCCAGAUGCUGGUUGUUCAAAUACGUCUCCACUUGAGGAUACCUCGCCACGAUAUCACCCACCACAGCCUUGAAUUCCUCCAUGGUCAACGUUCCCGACUUAUCCGCAUCAGCCGCCUCGAAUAUCUCCGCAAUGUCAUCCUGAAACACACCACGAAAAAAUGUUACAGUUACCUAUGCCACUUAAGGUGGUAACCUGAUGAACAAGAUUAAUGCAUACCAUGAUUUUACGUUGAUCAAUUGUGGCACAAUCACCAAGUGCAUAGAUGUUUUCGGUUUCUUUCACUCGCAGCCACUCGUUAGUUGCGAGAAUACGCCUAUUACCCUGGCCGAUUUGGUCCAUGAAGUCCUGCACAACUGGCCGAGUGCUUAUACCGGUAGACCAAAGAACCAAUCCAUGAGGUAUGGAACAGACUUCUCCUGUAGGCUUCAUCUUCAUAGAAAUUUCUUUCUCAGAAACACUCACAACUCGACAUCCCGUCUGGACUUCGAUUCCGUCCCUCCCGAACUUCUGUUCAGCGAACGAACUUAUGCGUUCGUCAAACCUGCACAAAAUUCAAUGACAUGAUCUACAGUACACGAAACGGAACACUGAGAAUCUGACAAAGAUCCGCCUAGCUUCUCACGUGUUCAAAAUAUGAUCUCCGGAUUGGACCAGACUGAUCUUGACUAGAUCCUUCACGGUCGGAUAGAUGUUGACCAAGUCUUCAAUGAGAAAGUCAUGCAGCUCAGCAGCAAACUCGACACCGGUCGGACCGCCACCAACAAUCACGAAAUGAAGGUUCGUUCUUCGCUCUUCUUCGGUUAGAUCAGGAAGGACGGCCUUUUCGAAGCAAUCGAUCACCGUCCUUCGAAGCCUCUGAGCAUCCUCUAAAUCCUGGAAUGUCAAGUUCAAUCCCUUUUGCUCAUAAACAUAACGUUGAUACAUCUAUAAACCAUUUGUAGUGAAUUAUACCUUCAGAAAAUGGCAGUUCUCGUUGACACCGGGCGUGUUGAAAGUGUUGACUUGAGCUCCAACUGCAAUCACCAAGUAGUCAUACUCCAGAGAGAACUCCUCUUUCCCCACGGAUUUGUUGUCAAAGCUAGCUUUACAGAAUAUCCUGUUCUUCUCGGAAUCUAUCUUAACACAAUCCGCCUCCAAGAACUGAAUCUCUCCAUUUCUCUGCCAAUCAAUAACGAAUCUUUUGUCACAAAUCCAACACACACAACAGCACUAAGUAUGCAUAUCUACCAUUUUUCCAUCUUACCUUCCUAAUCAUAUUUCUAAUAGGCUCGACAAUGCUUCUGGCCUCAACCGUUCCACAAGUGACACUAGGGAGCAAAGGAGUGAAAGCAAAGUAAUUUCUCGGCGACACGACCUGAACAUCGUACAUAGAAGCGUCCAGAUCCUUGACGAAGCUUGUUCCGGCCCAUCCUGUCCCAAGAACCACAACUCUCUUCUUCUUGCCGUCAUUUUUGUUGACAAUGGAAGCAGGCACUUCAGUUUCCACUUGUGAGUCUGAGUAUGCCACCAGACCUCCACUACUGUUUCACAAAAGGAGAUUCAAGUAGCAACCAUAUUAUAAAACAGUUCAUAACGUCAUAUAGAGUCUACAUACACAGUGGUACUCAUAGGAAAAUUAGCCUAACCUAGUACAUUCUAGAUUAGAUUUGUUUCAGUUGAAUUCUCUACUGCUUUACAACUGAAGUCAAAAUCAACGGAGGACAAUUUCAGACAUUGAGCAAAUAGCAACCAUAUGAAACAGUUCAUAUACAGUCUGCACAAACAGUGGUAUAUAUAGGUGGAUCUUAACAACUUGACAAAUUAGCUUAACUUAGUACAUUCUAAAUUAGAUAGAGCUACCAAGAAACAGGACACCUUGUGGAUUUCUUUCAAUUGAAUGCUCUACUGCUUUUACAACUAAAGUCAAAAGUCAACGGAAAUUUCAGACGCCGAGCAAGACAAACUUAUAUCAAAAGCAAAUCACUGUACAAGAUCAAUGCUUUCUUCACUGUUCCCAGCAGUUGGAGGAAGCGGGUGGAAAUGGAAUCUAGAAAGGAUCUAGCUUUUGUGUUCUAAAAGGCUCACAAACCCACCAUUUCCCCCAAAAUGGGAUUUGAACAACAUGAAAAGGGUUUAACCAUAAAAACAGUGUGUAAAGAGAGUCAAAAGCUGACCAAGACCACUGGAAAGGAAAAACCCAGAUCGAAUCAAAGCAGGAGAUUGGAAGUUAACCUUAUGGUGAAUAGGGCAAGGAACUUGGAAGUUGAAGCAGGGAAGCUGCGAGUUGCUCUGCUGAAGAACGACAUGAUUCAAAUCGUUUCCAGAAGGAUUUGUUCUUGUUUUUUUGCCGUUUCUGGUUUCUAGCAGAGGAAGACCUCAAGGGGUGGGGAUUAGGAAUGGUGGUCCUCUUGGUGUGAAUUGCAAACUGUGGGGAAAUUGCCAGUCCAGUCCAGUCCAGUACAGAGAGCUGAGAGUCGUUAUCCAUCAGCUGGAGGAUGAGAGGGAAAGGACACGUGGCCAGAUCUGGUGUGGCUGUCAUCCUUGCUUUGUGGAGGAUUGUUUCCUUUUUUAUAUAUUUGUUGAUGCUUAUCCACCGACGAAUUAAUGUGUAUUUAAUUUGUAAUUAUCACUUAAUUAUCCGGUCUCACUUUCAACUCUCACUCAAUUAUCUAUUUCCAUACUCAUCCAUAUAUCAAUGAGUUUCGAAUGAAUAUUAAUGGAUAUCCCUAUUCUGAUAGAAUUAAAUUAAAAUUUUAAUAAAUAAAACAAUAUAAUUUAAGUUCAAACAAUUUAAAAAACAUAAAUAAUUAUUUUACACUAAAACAAAAUAUAAUACUAUGAGACACGUUCAUUGUACUCAAUCAUAAUACUCAAAAGUUCACAUAGAAGAAUGUAAUUUCAUAGUGCGGGUAGGAACCUAGGAUAUGGAGAUAGGUAUGAGGCAGGAUGUCUAAACCCAUACGAGUGAGUAUUUUCGAUUUAUGGCUCUGCAGCACCUUGCGGCCACAUAAUUAGUUUUGGUUAAGAUUUUUCUAGUUGAAAGCACAUAUAUCCUCAUUAACGUAACUUUAUUUGGUUAUUAUUUGAAGGGUUUAAUAUGGUGAAACUUUAAUUUUUAGUCAUUCCCGACAUGUAUAUCAAAUACUAGCCAAUUUAAAAAUUUAAAAAUUUUAAUGUCAAAAUCGAUCAAUUUAGGUGUGUUAUAUACUAAGGCAAUUAGACCAUUUUCACAAGAAAAAUUUCAAAAUUUUCAAAAUAGUUAAUAUUUGACAAGCAUAUUGGAAAUGACUAAAAUAUCAAGUUUCACCAUGAUAACCCAUGUAAAUAAUGGUAAAAUGAAGUUAAAAAUCAAUUUUACUUGGUGUUAUGUUAGUGUUGAAAAUUUUCAAAUUGGCUUACUUUCUGAUUGUUAAGCCUUCGUUACAUGAAUUUUGAUAACGUCGACCAUACAUAAUUUUGUGAGUACCAAAAUAUUUUACCAUACAUUUCAACACGUAUAUACAGUAAUAAAACAUACGGAUCGAUACGUUCAAUCACCUUCGCAACAUACCAUGGAAGACAAGCAACCUAGUUACUAUUAAAACAUAAGUAACAUUAUUAUUAUUAUUAUUAUUGUUGAUAAUAUUAUUAUCCAACUGCAUGAUAUACCAUUUUAUUGGUCGAUCCCAACAUCGACAUUAGAACUGGAAAAGUAAGACACAGUCGUUUCACCAAGAACAUGCAUGCAUGCAAAGUAGCAAGUCAAACUGGGAAGUACGUAAUAGUAGUAGCAGCAGUAGUAAUAAAAAUAACUAGUUAUUGAAAAUAAGCCGUGACGAUCUAUUGACGUCGACCCUUGACGGCGGAGGUUACGAUUGAUGCAUGAUCAUUUAGAGCAGGUGAGGUUGGAGGGAGCCGCCCUGCCACACUGUGCGAAAGUAAAUGCGACAAGCUGGCUAAGGUCCGGGUCCGUGAGGACUUGAGCAGGGCUAGAUGGAGAGUCUUUUAAGGGCCGUGCAAAUGCAGUCGGCGGCUGCAGUAGCAUCGCUGACUGUAGCAAACACCAUGCAACGUGCACCGGUUAGCGGGGCAAGACCGCAAGCACGUAGAUCCGGGCACGUAGAGGUAGGUGUUGGUGCAGGAUUCGGACUAGUUGCGAGUGUCGUUUUAGGGUUCGGGAUCGAGGUCCGGGCGGAGACCACGGAGAUAAUUUAAUAGGUUUGACAUUAAUAGAUAUUUUUUUUGCGAAAUAAAUGUUUAUGGAAAAUCAAUAUUUUCAUAUCACCACCAAUCAUUUCAUUUGAAUAAUUCACGUGGAUAUAUAGUUUUAAUUUAAUAAUUAACAAUGGAAAAAUUAAAGAAACUAGAAAAUUAAAUAUGGCAAGUGGAAUAUUUUUGAAACAAAUUCAAAAUCAUUGAGGAUGACAAAGUGAGAAAGGGGAAAGUAAAACUGAUAAAGUUAAAGGAUGAUAAAGUAAAGGUGGAAUGGAAAGAUGGGUUGUCGUCCCCUUCGACUUUAGGUUCCUAACUACAUUGAUCACUUAACUUAGGUCGAGUUGUAAUUCUAAUAUUAUUUCGAAUGACAUGAUCAAAUUGAGUUAUAAUUCUAAAUGAUAUUUAAACGGUUUACAAUUAGUGUAGAAGGUACAUUAUAUAAUGCCCAAAAAAGUGGGUGAUUGAAGCAAUGCCACCAGACCACUCUGACCAUAUUCAUUUUCGUUGUAAAUCACUUGUACGAAAAAACUUUUAAAAAAUCAAUGACCGUCUAUGAGGUCAUUUUAUAACUCACAUUCAUCACCAUGUUAUGUAAGAUAUCUUACAACAUCCAAGUGUUCAACUGUACAUAGCACUAUCGUUCAAAAAUGCCAUCUCAUUUUAGCAUCAAAACAAAUAAUUUUCGUGAUCGUGCAAAAAUGUCAUCCUCAUUUUAACAUCAUAUACAUUAUUUUUAAAUGUCACCUGACCACCAUAGUGGUAUUCAUUUUCACGACUCAUAUUCAUCAUCAUGUUAUGUACGAUGUCUUACAACAUCCAAGUGUUCAAUUGUACAUAGCACUAUCGUUAAAAAAUGUCAUCUCAUUUUAGCAUUAGAACAAAUAGAGGCGUGAUCGUGCAGGAACGUCAUCCUCAUUUUAACAUCGGAUACAUUGUUGUUAAAUCUCACCUGACCACUUUGGUGGUACUCAUUUUCACGACUCACAUUCAUCACCAUGUUAUGUCGAUAUCUUAAUAUAUUCAAGUAUCCAGCUGCUAACACUAUCGUUAAAAAAUGUCAUCUCAAUUUAAUAUCGGAACAAAUAGAGACACAUGAUCGUGCAGGAACGUCAUCUCAUUUCAACAUCGGAUACAUUGUUGUUAAAUGUCACAGGACCAAUAUAGUGGUAUUCACUUUGACAACUCACAUUCAUAACCAUUUUAUGUAUAAUAUCUUACUACAUCCAAGUAUCCCGCUGCUAGCACUAUCAUUCGAAAAUGUCAUCUCAUUUUAACAUCAAAACAAAUUGAUGUGUGAUUGUGUAGGAACAUCAUCUCAUCUUAGCAUCAGAUAUAUUCAUCUAUGUUUAGUUAGAGCGAUGAGUGAUCUUGAUUUUGUCCCCUGUGAAAUAGUGUAGUGAUUGCGUUGUAUCGUUGGAGACCCGAAAAUCCCAGAUUCGAAUCCAGCCACACCCCACAUAUAAAUGGACACCUAUAUUAUAUUUGCUUCAUUUCUCUUUUAUAACACAGUUUCGCCUAAUCUAUCUUCUACUAAAAUAGUGAUCUUGAUUUUUCCUACUCCGAAAAGUUACUCGUCGAAACUUGGAUGACUAUAUAUGCUCUUUCGAAUUUCUCUGUUCUAGCAAAGGCUGCACGCACUUGCAUGCCAAAUCUGAUUAAAAAAUUCACGAAAUUAAAGAACACAAUUUCCUAUUGUAAUUCAAAUACAAACUCCUUCUUCUUCAUAGCUGUAAACCAACAUUCUCUGCCUCAUUAAUUCACCCAUUAACCAUCCAAUGAUUCUCUCUGAAACGAUUCCGAUUCACUCGCCUCCAUUGAUUUAGCUUUUUAAUCCUUCAAUGGGUUGUCUUCCUUGCAAUGCUGACUCCGCCGUCGCAAUCUGCGGCGACGGUCGAUCUCACCAUAACAAACCCACAUCAACCACCACCAAGCACUUCACUUACUCCGAAUUAGUCGCCGCCACCGGUGACUUCUCCGCCGACAACUUCCUCGGAAAGGGUAGCCACGGAGCUGUUUACAAAGCCACCCUCGACGGCGGUAAGCUGAUCGCCGCCGUCAAACGGAACAGCCAUCCAGCGAUAUGGUCCCCCUCACAUUGUUACCCAACCCCCCCCUCCAGGGGAAAAGCUGGUCCCCCCCCGCAAACCGGACCAGCCACCACCAACCUCCGACCAAUUUCAGAACGGCGCCGUCGCCGGCGGAGAACGAGAUUGAGAUCCUGUCGAAAGUCCGACACCCGAGGUUGGUCAACCUCAUCGGCUUCUGCGCCGAGCGGAGAUUAAUCGUGGUUGAGUACAUGCCCAAUGGUUCGCUCUACGACGUGCUGCAUUCCGGUUCGGUUAGUCUUCCUGGUUGGACCAGGCGGGUACGGUUCGCUCACCAGGUAGCUAAAGCUGUUGAGGCGCUCCAUGGAUCCGACCCGCCGGUGAUCCACCGCGAUAUCAAAUCGUCGAACGUCCUCAUCGAUGGAACGUCCAAUGCUCGCCUGGGGGAUUUUGGUUUGGCGUUGAGGGGACACGUAGAGGACGUACGGGUCAAGUGUACACCGCCGGCGGGUACACUUGGGUAUCUCGACCCGGGUUAUCUUGCGCCGGGAGAUCUGAGCUCCAAGAGCGACGUGUUCAGCUUCGGAAUCUUGCUUCUGGAGAUAAUCAGCGGUCGGAAAGCGAUCGAUGUGAAUUUCAGUCCGCCGUCUGUUGUCGAUUGGGCGGUUCCGUUGAUCAAGUGGUUGGAGGUCGAUUCAGUCUGCGAUGCUCGGAUCGGUUCCCCGGUGGACGGUAGCGUUAUUCGGAGCAUGGCGGUUUUGGCGGCGAGGUGCGUGCAGUCGCCGGCAGAGAAGCGGCCGGGGAUGUCGGAGGUUGUGGAGGGGCUGAAGGCGGUGAGGAAGAGAAUGGAGGCGCCGGCGAUUCUGAUGCGGCUGUGUAGGAGUCUCCGUCGGAUCCGUCAGAAAGUGAGGAGGCCGUUGUGGUCGCCGGGAUGAGGCGGAGGGUGAUGAGUAGGAGAAACAGGAAAGUGUCGAAUGCUUCAAUUGCAAACCAUGGUAGCAAUUGGAACAGGGAAUUAGAAAUUGGGGCGGCGGAGCAUUACAGAUUGAAUAAUAAUUCCGGCGAUGGUGAAUCCGGAGAGCAUACUAACUCUAAUAGUAAUGGAGUAGGAAUUCAAAUAGAAGUAAUACAGCUGAGCAAGUCCAUGUCCACCGGAGUAGACGGCGGACUUCUUUCCGGAGCAAUAGCCACGGCUGCGGAAGAAGAGGAUAUACUACCGGGGCGAGAUCGACGGUGAGAUGUUUAAAUUAAGGAUUGGUUCCGAUGUGAAAUCCGAGAAAGAGAUGCAGGAUCUCCAGCUAGGAUUUUCAUUUCCCUCCAUUUUCAAAAUUUUGUAAGGAAUUUUCUACACUUCUUAUUGAAGUGGUUGUUCAGUUUGAACACAAAAACCGGUCCAAGUGUGUAGAACUCAAAUAAAUUAGAGAUUAGUAAGUUGAUAUAGGAAUACUCUGAAUAUUUGUUUAUGUCUGGGUACAUAAUGAUGUUAGUGAUAACUGGUACCAGUCGAACAUUCGAUAUACAAAAUAUUAAUUGCUUCGCGAUUCGGUAGUAUCGAUAUUGGCGUUCGAAUAUGUUGCUGUUGUGCAAGACAACACAAUCGAAACGACUAACGGCAUGCAAGUAUGUUACAAACAAUCUAAAGCUGGAUAAGUUAAGCAUUUGACUUGUGAACUACAAAAGUAACAAAUACAAUGGAUAUUACAUGACCAAAACCAAAAUUACAGAGCUACUGCUUGAUCCAAUAUUCCUUUACUGAUCUUUACUCUAAAUCCGUCACAGAACCAGCAGCAAACAAAUUCAAACAAGCAUUCACUGGUGAGCAUUCAUUCACCUCCAUGGCCUUUGCUAUGGAAUUCUCGACAGGGCUGCAGCCAGAAAAGACAAUUCACAGGCUAAAGAAAAGUUAGUGCAGAAAUGGCAAAUGAUCAAACAGCCAAUUUAGUACUGUUAUUUAACUCCUAUCUCGCCGUGAUAAAAAAGAGAUGAAGCUGAUGACAACACGAUGAUUUACGAGCUUUUUCAGACUCUUCGAAGCAAUGGAAAUUAGCUGCAGAGUAUAGUUAAAACUCAAUGAGAUGAAAACAAUUGAGCAGGUUCUCCCUGUAGACAGGGUCUCAGCUCCACUAAACUAUUAUAACCAAACAAAAUGAAGAUCCUUUGAAAUUUCAUCUGCAAAAACGUUUCCAGGCAAGCAAAGAUAUGGAUCAAGGCUCAGAUAGAUUGAGGCUUUCUUGAUCACAUAAUUAUCAGCAGCAGGAGCGAUUGCUCCUCAGUGAAGCCCUGGGUUGCAUCGUAAUGGGUUUACUUUAAAAAAGAACUGCAGGCUCCGACUUUAUACAGAGAGUGUUCUUCUUUAGGAAUCCUAAAUCGAUGAACCUGAGUUUUGUUACGGGCCGUGUAGUGAUGGAUUGGGCCAAUAGAUGGAGCAUCUUUAUUAAUGGUAUAAAUCCAGGCCCAACAUUUCAAAUUCAAAUUUAAGUUCCCACAACAUUUUCACAGAAUCCAGCUCCCGCCAGGAUCAACUUUCACUCCCAAGCCUUUCAUCCCACUCCUGAUUCUGUCAGCUUCCUCUAAUCUCCCUGCAUUAGCAUAAACCGUAGACAACAGCACAUACGUCGAAGGAUUAUCAGGUUCGAUCUCGAACAGAGCUCUAGCAGCAAUCUCUGCAAGUUCCGUCUCGCCAUGAGUUCGACACGCAGCAAGAAGCGCACCCCAAGCUUUCGCAGUCGCCUUCACCGGCAUCCCACGUAUAACCUCAUAAGCCUCGUUCAACCUCCCGGCCCUGCUCAAGACAUCGAUCAAACAAGAGUAAUGAUCGCUACUUGGGGAUAAACCGUAGUCACCCUGCAUCUUUUUCAGGUAACCGAUCGCUUCGUCGGCCAAUCCAGCGUGACUGCAAGCUUUCAGAACUGCAAGAAAUGUAAUCUCAUCGGGGCGCACUUUCGCCGAUUCCAUCUGUUUGAAUAUCUCCAGCGCGGUCAUUGCUUGUCCAUGUAGAGCGUAAGCUGAUAUCAAGCUGCUCCACGGAACGACAUCUUUUUCUUCCAUGGUUUGGAAGACUGUUGCUGCGCUGUGCAGAGAGCCACACCUUCCGUAUGCCUCCACGAUUCCGCUCCUUAUCUGUGGAUGCGGAUCGAUAUGAUUCCUUAUCGAAUAGCCGUGUAUCUCCCUGAUGAAAUUCAACGAUGCCAUGUCCGCACAAGCUGGCAAUAGAGCAAGAAGCGUAAUCAAAUUCGGUUUCAACCCCACUUCAUUCACUUUCCUGUAAACUCUAAUCGCUUUCACAGCUCCAUCCUCCUCCUCCGCCAAGCCGGAAAUCAGCGAGUUGAGAGUUGAAACACUUGGCUCGACAUCCAUCGCGUUAAACACAAGCAAUGCCUCGCGGACCAUCCGGGAAUGUGUGUACAGAGAUACCAUCACAUUCCAGACAACAACGUUUCUCUGGGGAAUUUCGUCGAACAGUUGGCGUGCAAUGUCAACCGACACACAUUUGCCGUACAUGUCGAUCAGAGAACUCGCCACGAAUGGGUUCGAGAGGAGACCCAUUCUCCGAACGAUGGCGUGAAUCGCGGAGCCUAACUGAGGUUGGCGAAUUGCUGCGCAGGAUUUGAGCACAAGAGGGAAAACGGGAGGAUCGAGAGCUACUGAGGAUUGCAUGUGAUGAAACAGAGCCAGUGCUUGUUCGUGAUUGCCUCUGUUUACUAAGAGGGUUAGUUGCUUGGUGAGGGAGAUCAAUCUGGAGUUGCUUGAGAGAAAGCUCAUUGUUCAGUAAUCAGCAGUAGUUGUUGUUCAUCCUGAUUCCUGUGGUACAGUCUCUGAAUUAUAACGAUUUCAAGACAGGUUUUUCUCUCCGUUAAGAAGCUAGGUUCUCAUUUUUUUAUAAUUUGGAUUUUGUACACAUUUUGGCCCCUCGACUAUACAAAGUUAACAAAUAAACCCACCCAACGCUUGAUAAAUGAAUAAUUCGAUUAUUAAUCAUCGAUUCGGUUCACCUUCUUAAUUAAACAAAACAACAUCUCAAAUUAAACAAAACAGAAAACUAGAAAAGGGAAACUACAAAUUCACUUCUCUGUAAUAAUAAAUCUUACCUAGAGCAGCUACGAAUGUAAUUACUCAAAAGUUUUACUAGAAAAUAUUAGCACCUCCAAGUUAGCUCGAAGCACAUUCGCGAUGGUCCCCCGGUCACCUCUAGCCCUUGUGUUGUCUUCUUCACUUUGUAAAGUUGACGUAGCCAACUCCGGUGCUCACAAGACCCUUCUCCACUUAUCUUCGUGGACGGUAGCCGGUAUACCGAAGAAGUUAAAUUCAAAAAUGCCAUGGUCAUCUGCUCAUGUUGUCUGCCUUUGGAACCAACAUUGGUUUUUCUUUUCAAUUUCGAAAAUGAAUCAACUAUGGUAAAAAACCUAGGACGACAAGUCCAAAAUAGAUUAUCCAAAAGAGCUCUUGGGUCCAUGCUUGGAACCGAGCUUAUGAUCAAGUUCUCGAUGGCCCUUGGAUGUACAUUGUGAUCAGCUUUUUCCUCGUUGAAGGUAACCUGAUAGUUUUAGUAAAAAUAGUAAACAUUUUUACAUAUUAACGACAUCGAAACAAUAUAAUCUUAAUUAACCGUUACUUAAUGGUAAAAAAGACCAUACCUCCUUGGCGUAGCAGCGAAUCAUAAUAGUGUUGAACUGCGUGAACUUGGCGAUGAAACUCUUCAAUCCAACAAACCAUGCUUGAGUAUCACAAACAUUAUGAUGGAGCGGAAACUCAGCCUUACAAUCAUUAGUGGCAGCGAUGGCGGCACUCGUGAUUUCACAUAUGUUUAAUGUCCCCGGGACAGCUUGAUAUUUGAGGAAGAAUUUCGACAAUUCUGAUCCAGCAUCAACUUCAAUCUCUUCCAAUCCACGCGGUGGAAACAGUGUGAACUCCUCGAGGUUAGGAUUAGAAAGCUUCAGCUUCUUCACGUAAGAUUGGCUUACAUCCAGAUUUAAGGAUUUCAGAUGUUUGAACUUUGAAAUCACCGGACCGAAAUCAUCGAUUCUUGAUCUUGGAGAUGUCAAAUCCAAAACAGCCAACCGAGGAGCUAUAAUUGCAAUUCUUGUGAACGUAGUUGGGUCCUUGAUAGACAGAGUCUCGAGUUUAGCAGCUGAGAUCUCAAUUUCCUGGAGGCAAUUACAGUCAUCGAUCACGAGCGUCUUCAAGUUGGUAAGAUCACAAAGCUGGAGCUUACUCAAUUGCGGAAGAAACUUAAGCUUUAGGGUUUCAAGAACGGGAGAGCUAGCAAUCAAGUUCGCCAAAAGUCGAUAGUCCGUAUAUUGGACAUCAUUCAGGUCUAAGAUAAGGAGAGAAGGCAGAGAAAGCGGGAGAUCAUUACCGUGUUGGUUGUCGGCAAACUGGAUAGCUCCCAACCGGAGAAUCUUCAAGUUGGAAUUGGAUGAUUUAUGAAAGGUCAAUCGGAGGUUUGAAAAAUUUGACCACUUUCCGGUGAUCGAGAUCUCUUCGGAUUUCCUACUUGAUGCUAAAUCCAGCAGCUGAUUAGCCAAUGGCGAAUAGGCUGCCUUGUCGCCCCUUGGUAACGAAACCUCAAGCGAUUCUAUCAGCAAACGCUCGUCACGAUUAAACCUCUCGAUAGCUGCCUUGGCGAAUUCCUGAAAACAUUCCAAGGCCGGUUUUUUGCAGUUGUUCUUGGGAUUGGAUACUUUCUUUCGAUCCUGAUAGUCGAACUUCAGGAUUGGAUACGAUCGCCAAGCACGGAGCCAACGCCUGGACAGAGUACUAGUCAAUGCUGCUUUCCUGGAGGACUUCAAGCAGCGGAGGAUGCAGUGGAUGAUUUCAUCCGGUAAUUCUGAGAUCCGAUCGAUCCCUGUUGAUUUACUCCCAUGCUUCGUCUUCUUCUUCAUCGCCGGCGAUGAUCUGAGCUCUUUUGUUCUAUUGAAAGAAUCAGAGAUUUUCCAGAGUUUUAUAUGAAAACGCAAUACCCUACAACUGGUUCUUGGGCUUUUUGAAAUGGGCUAGAAUGUUAUUUUGGGUCAGAGAAAGAAAAUAAAUAUAACAUAAAUAUUUAUAUAUGAAAGGCGAAAAAGACCUACAGUAGUUUUACAUAAAUAUGGACUUUGGUUAUGUAGUUCGGUUAGCGGGCAGACAGGGCGCUUUCCUACAUGGGUCGUUAGACGACCAUUUAAGGGAGCCUCCAGACUUUAUUCUGAAGCUUGGCUCGAGCUACUUUUGCUUUCGGGAACAGAUAGCUUGUGGCCCAAGUCUACCUCUCCAAAAGCAAACCCUACGCAAUUCAACCUACCAACUUUGACUCUCUCUUCGUGGAGAGAUUUGUAACUCAUAGUUGAAUUCAAAUUCGAUAUCUCUAAAUAAAUCUCCUACUAUACAAAGUAAUUGAACUAAUUGCAUUACUCCACAUGGCUAUUUCUUAUUUAUUUCCGAAGGCUUAAUUUUCUUUUGCGUUGAAUGCCUUACUUUUCAGUUUUCAGUUUAUUUUACUUUGGAUUAAUACACAUUUUGGCUCCUUAGCAAUAUGACGUUAACAAACAACUCCUCUUACUAUUUCUGGCUAGUUUAGUAGUUUUUCAUUCAUACACCAUUAAACUUGUCGACUCAACAUGUCUAAUCAAUCGUUUUAAAACAUAGUGUUUCGAAAUAGAUUUGAAGUUAUAAUAUUAAUACGUAUAUCAUAUGCAUCUCGAUAGCUAUUAAUAUCUGGUUCAUCUUUCUACCCCUCGAGGAUGAGUCGAUACAUCAGCACUGUGUCUCGUCGCCCGAGAGUAAAAAAGUCAGAACUUAUUCAUAUUUGUAGACAGCUUAUUCAUAUAUAUGUAUUGGAUUGUGAAUGAAAUAUAUAAAGAAAAUUACGUAUGAAUCUCAUUGCUGAACUUGAUUCACCCUAAAAUUACACCGUUAUCUGAAGCAUAAAUCUACCAAGAGUAGCUACGAAUUAAAUUACUCGAAAGUCUUACUAAAAAAGAUUAGCACCAAGUUAGCUCGAAGUAUUUUCGUGAUGGUCGUCCUAUCAACUUUAUCCCUUACACAGUCAUUUUGUUGUCACAUAACAAUACUCAAAUCCACUUUAAUUUUUGUUUUAAAAUCUAAUGGUCUUCAUUUAUUGAAUAUUUUAGUUUUUCUUCUUUCUUUUUCAUCGGAAGGGUUUACGCCUCCUUCGAUCUCUAGGUCCGUCUCCUCGGCCGUGGAGGCAGGUGGUAAUUGAUGUCGUAGAGACCGACGGACGGAGCUGGGAGAAGGCAGUCUUCUAUCGGACGGUGGAAGAAAAACGAAAGGGACCGGCGGAAGGAGGAUAGACGAAAGGAAGCGGCAGUUUGAGAAUAAGACGAAAAGGAGCGAUGGUUUUGGGAGGAAGAGAAAUUGGAUUUGGGAGAGGUUCUAGAAAAUAAUAGAAAUCCUAUGUUAUUUGGUGCUUCCUUUAUUUGGACAAUUAAGUUCAUGUUAUUUCUAACCUUUAGAUCUUAAUACCUAAAAAUAUUUUAAAUUUCAUUUUGUUAUUAUUUAGAGAAGUUAAUAUGGUGACAUUUAAAUUUUUAGUUAUUUCUAACAUGCAUAUAAAAUAUUAGCUAAUUUAUAAAUUUUCAAUUUUUAUGUGUAUUGUUAUUUUUUCUGUGUAAUAAUUCAUGGAAAUUGAUAAUUUUGACAUGAAAAUUUUUAAAUUUUCAAAUCAAUUAAUAUUUGACCUUCAUAUUGGAAAUGGUUAGAACAACAAGUUUCAUUAUGAUAACUCUGUAAGUAAUUGUCAAAUGAAGUUAAAAGUUAUUUUUUAUGUUAAGAUAGUGUUGAAAUUUAUCAAACUGGCUUACUUUCUAUAUGAAUGUGGUGAGAAACAACUAAAAAUCUAAACAUUAUGGUGAAUAAUCUAGACCAACAAGCCUACAAUAAACUAUUUAGAAGACAUUUUUCGUUCGGAACAAAUAAUGCAACUCGAUUUCCAAAUAUUUGAUGAUCUUAGUCUAAUCUAUCUCUUUGAGUUAAAUUUGUAUCGUAGAAUGACAAACAAGCAAAUUUUUAUGAAUUCUUUAUAAAAAAAAGGUUUUAUGAAUUAGUAGUAUAUAUGUGCUGGUAAUAUCCAAAGCAAAAAUAUUAACUGUUACCAACCGUCGGAUACGAUACUGCAUGAACGGUCCGAUUCUAAAGGCCCAAAAUCUAAACCCUAAACCAACUAAUCGUACGCCAUAUUUAUACUACUCUGUAAAAUCUCUUUGUAACUUCCGACUGGUUUCCUGAUCAUCACCGGCGAUCAAUGACGAAGACCAAGAAUGGCAAUGAACCGUCCGCAACCACCGGAGCCGAUCGGAUCUCAGAACUACCGGAUGAAAUCAUCCUCUGCAUCCUCCGCCGCUUGGAGUCCGACAGGGAAGCAGCAUUGACAACUACUCUGUCCAGGCGAUGGCGAAGCCCUGGCGAUCGUAUCCAAUCGUGGAGUUCGACUACAUGGGAGUAUCCAAUCGUGCGGUUCCACUACUGGAAAAUUUUCAGGACUUCGCCCAGGCAGCUAUCGAGAGGUUUAAUCGAGACAAGCUUUUGUUGAUGGAAUCGCUCAAAGUUUCGGUUUCGUUACGAGAAGAUGGCAAGAUACCGUAUUACCCAUUGGUUGAUCAGCUGCUGGAUUUAGCAUCAAAGAGGAAAUCCAAAGAGAUCUCAGUCUUUCUGUCUUCACACCGCGAUAAUGGGCAAAUCGACCGCCUCUACUCGCCCUUUCGUCUACUCUCCAAUUCCAGUAUGAAGAUUCUCCAAUUGCAAGGUAUCAAUUUCGCGUAUGAUGAUGAUCUCCGCCUUCCUCUGCAUUCUCUGCGCUUCGUAUAUCUGAAUGAUGUCUAAUUGGAGGACGAACGACUUCUGGCGAACUUGAUUGCAAGCUCCCCGCUUCUCGAAACCCUGAUACUAAUCCGUAUUGGGGAAUUGAGUAAGCUCCACUUUCGCAAUCUUACCAACCUGAAAAGGCUCGUAGUCUCGCACUGUGGUUCCCUCGAGGAAAUCGACAUUGUAGCUGCUGAACUCCGGACUCUGCAUGUUCAUUGGGCAUAUUGUGUCUCCAGUGUUGAAAUUAUAGCCCCCAGGUUGACUGUGUUUAACAUUAGUGGUACGACAAUCGACGAUCUUUGUCGGGUGAUUUCCAAUUUCAAAUCUCUGAAAUCCUUAUUCUUGGAUUAUAUGUAUCCUCCCGCGAAGCAGCUGAAAAUUUCCAGUCCUAACCUCGAGAAGUUCACACUGGUUGUAUCGCCUCGAUUGGAAGAGAUCGAACUCGAUGCAACGUCAGGUUUGGCGAAAGUCUUUCUCAUAUAUCGAGAACUAGUACCGCUUCGUAAAUUAAAGAAAAUUGAGAUCGGGAAUGCCGCCAUCUCUGCAACUUAUGAAUGGAAGGUUGAGUUUACUAUGACCACUGCCAUUCGAAACACACACACAUGGUUUGUUGAAUUAAGGACUUUCAUGACAAAAUUCAUGCAGUUUCAAACGAUUAGCAUUGGUUGCGCCAACAAUCAGGUAUCGUAUCCGGUAUUUAGUAACAUUUUAUAUUUUUUCGUUUCGAUAAUUAUCAUAAAAACUUGUUUGUCAUUCUGUAAUACAAGGUUGCUUUUAAGGAUGAAGAAAUAGAUCACACCGAACUUCCAAGGACUAUCCAGCACUUGAAAAUCGGGUUCAAAUGUGAUGUUGUAAACGGAAGAUCUUUCCUGAAUGGUCUAUUUUGGACUUGUCGUCCUACUUCAUUGACCAUAAUUGAUAGUAAGCCUAUAGAAGCUGAGACGCUUUCCCAUUUAUUCUUGAAGUUGACUGCGCAAUAUUCACUAAAACCUUGCAUGGAGGACAAUGAAGGAGGUUUUAAUGAGUAUCGGAAUUGGUUAUAUCAACUCAAGGAUGUGAAGAUGAUAAAGCAGCUCAGCAAUUGCUCGAAUACGUAUACUUACUUCGAGCUAACUUGGUUCUAAUAUAUUUCCGUGCUUCGUACACAUACUUUACUGCUUUAGCUUCAAACUUCGUGAAUUAUUUGAAGAUUUCCUUUGAGUUUUCAUACCUGAUUCAAGUACUGUCCAACUGCAUUGUUAAUUAAUUACAUCAUUUGCCGUUAAUUAUAGAUCAUGAAUAAAAAUUCAAGGAGCUCUUUAAUCCACAAAAGAGAUUUCAAGGCUUGAUCGUUCAUAUGUAGAAAAAAGUAUUGAUCGAAUUGUAAAGCACGAAACCGACGCUAGGAGUGAUGGGGGACCACUAUGUUUGUUGAUAUAACCUAUUGAUGUUUGCCAUACGUUUCUCUGUUCCUCACUUACAAUAGAUCAAUGUAGCUUAUGAUGGCUUUUUAUGGUCGCUACAUUAAUUAUUAAUAUUAUUCCGUUAUUAUUCUUUCCUUAUUCCUUUUUUAUUCUACGUUUAUCACUUAUAAUAUUUUCUUCCCUCCCGCAAUGCAAACGUAAGAAAUUUAGUCCUCAGAUCAUCACGCACUUGUUAUUAAUUUGAUAGGUCCAGAGGCUUAUUUUAACUUGAAAAUUGCAAGUUCACCGAAUUGGAAGAGAAACUACUAGCUAGCUAGUGUCAACGUACGUAUAUGAACACAUCAUAAAGUAAUGAAAAUUAGUCAUUACAUGCAUUUGUUUUUACAGAACCACAAAAGGCUCAGAAAUAAUCAGGUUUGAAAAUGGUAGGCAAGUUAGAGUGAAGAUCUUGAUAAGGGUUAAUGCCGAUGAAUUGAUCCCAAAUUUUCUGAUCAUAUUUUGAUUACGAUCGGAAAUAAAGUUUAUGUAUAAUAUUUUAGCUCCGACAGUUAUAAAAAAAUGUUUGAUGAAUUGAUCCUCUGAGUACAACCAUCUGCUCUAGUUGGAGUUGAAUUGCCUAAGAGAUUUUGGAUCGUCGAGCCUAUAAGCCCACAAAUUAGUAGGCCUUCACUAUUUAUCGUAAUAUGUGUUGAGAUCUCAUCGAGGUGUCUCCAGUUGAGGGCUAGGAUUGCUCUGGUCACAUUUACUUGUUUGAGUAUUAAAAGUAUUACAUGCCUUGCUCACAUGUCACUGCUAGGAUAGGUUGUCAUAAAUUUAGAGGGAAUAUUUUCUUACUAUGUAUUAUUUGUCCGUUUUUUAUUUGUUUUUUUGAACUCACUACCAUAUAUUCUUACGAGAAAUAAUUAUAAAAUUAGACCAGAACAAAAAGAAAUACUUGGAUUGACGACUAUAAACCCAUCACCUCUUAUUGUCCAUCCUCGACAAUUUUCGAAUCAUAAUCCAAAAGCUGUGAGAUCGACCUUAACAUAAUCCGGAAGAAAUGAAAGAGUACGGCGCACCACAAAGUGGUCAACCCCAUCUAUAAACCGUCGACAUCUAGAUCCAAGAGCAUAUUGUCAGAAGGAUGAGGAUCUACGUAAUGAUGACACCACCACUCACGCAAUGUGUAGUCCGCUAGGAGAGCCUGUAGAGGACCAGCUCCGCGUGGUCUUCAAUGUCCAGUGAGUGUGAUCAAAAUAAUUAGCUAGCUAGAGUUAGACCAAUCAAAUAUAAAUUACUUAUGAGGGAUGACUUAAUUAAUUUGGAAUGGACUUAAUUUAUUGGAAUAAAAAGAAAUUAUCUAGUUGGAAGAUGUUGAAUUUUGCUAUUUAGUCCUCGGAUGAACCCUAAAUCUUUUUGUUUUAACUUGAAUGUAAUAAGUUCACCGAAGUGAGGAAUCCCAUCACGAAAUUGAAAGAGAAACUACUAGCUACUGUCAACGUAACAUAAAGUCAUGAAAUAAGUCAUUAAGUUCCGAAAAAUUAAGGUUCUAAAUUGAUAGAUAAGAGUUAACUGAUCGUCGGAAUAUGUGCACUUGACUAUACAGGGUCCGAGUUGGAGUUGGAUCGUCUAAGAGGUUUUGGGUCAUCGAGCCUAUGUAUAAUCCCACAAAGUAGGUCUUGCUUACCGUAAUGAGUCACGAGAUCCCAUCGGAGUGCCUUGAAUUGAUAUAAUGAUGACCCUGAUCACAUCUACAGCUGAAAUGAGGCAACCUUGCUCUAGUAUAUAAAAACCACAUUCUUUAGGUACGCACUAUUUAUCCAUUUUUCAUUUAUCUUUUUCCAUUUACGUCAUUUUUUAAUUCACUACCUUACAUUUUAUAAUUCUUGCGAGGAAUAAUUACAAAGCUAACCUGUAUGGGAACAAAAAAAGUACUACAACAAUAAGCCAAUAACCUCUUAUUAGUAAUUGAAUGUAAUUGAAAGAGCACAAAUACUACUUGAUAAACCACCAGUCAAAAGAGUCCAAUGAAACUAGAAGGCAACUGGAAACCCCUCCCCAACUUCCUGGAAAAUCCAUUCGGUUUAAUUCUCAGUUGAUUUUUUUCGACAGACACCACAUCUAGUGAUGAUGUCGUGAGAUAGGUAAUGUCGCCAUCUCUAGGAACAAAGUCUGAAAGUCGAGCGCUACAACAUGUUUGGCUAUGAUAGUUAAAGGCACGGUUUUCGGACUGCCCAAACACGAUUUGAUCCGGCCGGCCUUCCCUCGCCCUAUACAAUUACUAAUCUGCCCAAAACACCCUUUGAACUUUCUACGCAUCAAGACUUUGGAACACCUGCUUGCAUUUCCAGGUUUCCACCCUCCCCAACAAGCACAUUAUUUUAAUUAUUUCAAGGAUGACUUGAUGUUCUUGAACCUGUCAUGUCCCUAUUUAUAGUUUCAUUUCUGGGAAUGAUCUGUAUAUCCAAAAUUAGCUAUGGCGAGAACUCGUUACGUUGACCGGAACGGAUUGACCAAGGGAACUUGGACCCCUGAAGAGGACAGGAAGCUUGCAGCCUAUGUUUUCCAGUACGGCUGCAAGAACUGGCGCCAGCUGCCGAAAGCAGCCCGUCUGGCGAGGUGCGGGAAGAGCUGCCGGCUCCGGUGGCUCAACUAUCUUUGUCCGGAUAUCAAGAGAGGCAAUUUCACCACAGAAGAGCGGGCUUCCCUCGUCGCCUUGCGCGAAUCUCUAGGCAAUAAGUAAGUAUGUAUGUGUAUCAUGAUUCAUCAUGUGUAGGGUUCGACUCGGUUUGCGAGAAUUCCUGUCCAGUUAGGAAAACGGUCCAAAAUUUCAUCCAAUUUUUCUCCUGCCGAACCAAACCGUAUAGUAAUAUUGCUGAUCCAAUACAUCAAUGGUUUCUAGCGAGAAUUUAACUCGACGGGAGAUUCGCGAAGUCUAACACUCACGAAUUAUCCAGGAUAGCAAUUAAACUCGUUUGAGGAGUUUUCUUGGCGGCUCAUGUUCCGAUGGCUCAAUUCUGUUGGUCAACGGCGAUAAUGAAAUUGAGCAUGCCUCUGCCUCGUUUUCUCUCCAUUGUGAUUCGUGAAGUCUAAACCUCUUCUUGCAAUAAACUUUUAGCAUUUGAUUUAAAAAAAUCCACAAAAAUCGCGAUUUUCUUAUCGACAGUAGUAAGAUUUUUUGGAUCAAUAGGUUAAAAUCGGACCCUAAUUUGACGAAUUGUAACUCGUAUAUUUUUCGGUUAUUGUUGCAGAUGGUCAGUGAUUGCAACUCACUUGCCAGGAAGGACAGACAGCGAGAUCAAGAACUACUGGAACACAUACCUCAAGCCUAGACCAGAAGCAAAAUCCGUCCUCGAUCCACCUCAUGUACACCCAACCAACAUCCUUGAUAACGAAAAUAUCGUUCCCUAUACCGAUAUUUCGGAUCGCGAACAACAAGAAACUAAUAGUACAUUAACCCAAACCUACCAAAGCAACCAUGAAAUGAUCACUACUGUUCAUGGAGAAGAUCAGUCACUUGAUCAGAUGGUCGCCGGGGGGAAUUACUCGGAUGCCAGUGCUUGGUCUGAUCAAUCGACAGUUACGAAUGACCGUCAUGAGUUCGUCGAUGAUGAUCUUAUUGGUGACGAUUUCUGGUCAAAGUCAUUCUUGACUGAUUAUGGGGGUGAUCAUGAUCAGUACUAUACAGCAAUGCAGAGUGAGAUUUACGGUACUGAUGAUGAAUUUCAGUUGGCCAAAGACACCCUUUGGCUUGAUUAUGAAUUGAACUAUAGGUACACUUAAUUAGGGCUUUUACAUAUAGUAUCGUAAUACCAUUUUCCAGUCAUAAUUUGAGUUAUAUAUUUUUGGGGUGCGGAGUUAGGAUGGAAAUAUGUACUCAGUUGAAUAAAUUUUCGAUAUCAUAUUGAAAUUUGAAGUCGAUUGAUGAUUCCAUUAUAUGAACUUUCCUACCAAUAGUAUAUGACACUACAAGAAAAUGCAAUUUUAAAUUUUUAGUGACUACCAGGUUAGUGAUUGAUCGAUUUUCAAUAAAAUGGUCACUAGUGACCUUUAGUGACCAACACAUCGCAUAUUUACUAUCAGUAAUCUGCAUUUUCUUGUAGUGCGAAACUCACCCAACUCCCCCCUAAACAUGCAUGGUUAUCGGGCCUGGAUGUAGCGAUUCUUCACAUAGGAGUUAAUGAUGAAUCACGGCUUUCUCAAAUAUAAUUAAAACAUUUUAGCUAAUGAUAGCAAGCAGUGUUUUCAAAACCGUACUUGUAUGAACGACUCGAUCACUCAUCACAAUAGUCUAGUACAUACAAUUACGAGUUCAACUAUUAAACUCACAUCAUAUAUCGUUAGACUCACUAAUUUGACAUGGUUCGGAAAAUAAUGCACUAAGGGUUUGGUUUCUUCAUCCCCCCUUGCUUGUACGUUAUCUUUUGGAUGUUAAUUUAUAAUCUCAUUCACCACAGAAAAAUAAUAAAUUAAAGUUAAUGAUCAAGGUGGCAAAUGUUGAAACAAGGUUGAUAAAGACACUCUAAUUGUAUUUUCUAGUGUUUUGUGUCAACUUCAUCAAAACAAAUGCAUACGUACGUAAGACAAAUGUUUCAAUUAUUUUGACAAACUAAUCCUCAAUAAAAUAAAAUAUUUUUUAAACAAUAAGAAAAUACAUAAUUAUGUCAUUUAUGUGACGUAAUUAUAUUAUAUCACAUGGUUCGUCACAGGGGUUUUAUGGGAAGAAGGACAAAAUAUCAAAUCAUANNNNNNNNNNNNNNNNNNNNNNNNNNNNNNNNNNNNNNNNNNNNNNNNNNNNNNNNNNNNNNNNNNNNNNNNNNNNNNNNNNNNNNNNNNNNNNNNNNNNNNNNNNNNNNNNNNNNNNNNNNNNNNNNNNNNNNNNNGUUGUUGGACUGAUUCUAAUACACGGAAUGUUUUUUAUUUAUUUGAUUUGAUUAUUAUUCGAAGGGUUUAAUAUAGUGGAAUCUUAAUUUUUAGUCAUUUCCAAGAUGUAUGCUAAAUAUUAGUCAAUUUAAAAAUUUUCAAUCUUUUAUCAAAAUUGGUCAAUUUCCAAAGGGGUAUACAUCUACGGAAAUGAGCCAUUUUGACAUGAAAAUUUUAAAAAUUUUAAAUCGACAAAUAUUUGACGUGCAUGUUGGAAAUGACUAAAAAAUCAAGUUUUACUAUGAUAACCCUUGUAAUAUUUGACAUGUGUAAUAGGCAUCACGUGGCUGCUAGUCACUAACACACGGUCGUGUGUUGUUAAUACAUGGCUGGGUGUUAUAAAUACAUGGAUUUUGGACAUAUUCAACAUCAAAGUGAUAGACACUCGAAUUAUCUUUCCAACGCCAGUGACCUUGCAUCAAUUGAACUUCCGAGCGACGAGUUAUGCUCGAAAUACUACUUUGCGACGCUUUCUUUCCAAGUAAAACGUACUGAGUUGUUACAGCCUCUCUGUCAUGCUUUAGUUCAUCUCGAGACGUCAUAUGACACCUAAAAUGUACCAAAAACAUACAAAACAACAUAAAAUGGUCCUAGGGGCCAAUGAGGAACCAAACAUGCACAAAAGUCAUGAAUUCGAUCAAGUUGAGGCAUCCAAACAUCAAUAAAAUGUUGUUUAAAACGCGAGGAUAUGUGCUACUAAUCAAGCACGUCAUAAAUAUUUAUAUAUAUAUAUAUAUAUCAACUAAGAUACUAAUUCAUGUGUAAGGUAGAAGUUAUUCGUUUAUCCCACAUCAGAAAGUAAAAGCGAUUAGGUAACGUUUAUACAUGUGAGUGAAAACCAAUCCCUUAAAGCUAAAUUUUAAGGAUGAAAAUAUCCAAUAACAUCGAAUAAUAAAAUUAUAACUCAGGUCGACAACACAUCCGCAAUCCGGUGACCAACGUUUGACAUUUCCAUCAUGUAUCAUCUUGGCCGUCCGUAAGAGGAUGGCAUGGAAACGGCAAAAAGCUAAACCCUAAGACAUAAUAAAACGACAACAGAACGAGGUUGGUGCCAGCAGUAGUCCUCCUCCCGUUUACUAAGACGACUCGCCGUUUUAAUCAAACCGUCCAAAGUCUUGUUUCCCACUAUCAUCCUGCAUCGAAAAUCCGUUGAACUUUCUCACGAAAUUCCACACGCCUCCCAUUUCUUUAGUAUUUGAUCGUAGACUUCGAAAAAGGACACACGAAUCAAUCAACUGAUCGAUGACUUACAUAUGCUUGUAUAUAUGUACACAAUUUUUGUUCAUCGAUCUUCACCAUUAAAGAUGGCGAGGACUCCUUACGUUGAUAGGAACGGGUUGAAGAAGGGAACCUGGACUCCUGAGGAAGACAUGAGGCUUGCGGCGUAUAUUUCGAGAUACGGCUGCCGGAACUGGCGCCGGUUGCCUGAAGACGCGGGGUUGAAGAGGUGUGGGAAGAGCUGCCGGCUCCGGUGGCUGAACUAUCUCCGGCCGGAUAUCAAGAGAGGGGGGUUCACUAAGGAUGAGGAAGCUACUAUCCUUGCUUUACAUGAAAAGCUAGGAAAUAAGUAAGUAUCACUCACUCAUGUCUUUGAUCGAUUCGAGUUAAUUAUAGGGAUUUGCAAUGAUGAUGUGGGUACGAGAAAAUAUAAUUUUAGAGGCUGUAAUUAUGCAACCGUUUCAUAAAACGGUAACUAAUUUACUAGGCUAAACAGGUUGUAGUUUAGCGGUUCUAGCAGUCUGAUUAAUUUGUUCACAGAGAUCCUGGAUUCAAAGCCUAAAAUGUGCAAUCAUUUCGGCGUCCUUGUCAUGGCAUAACCGGUCUCCCCUGGGCAUACGGACGGCCGGCCCAAAAUUUACCUGAAUGCGGCAUCACUAAAUGUGGUACCUGUUGAAAGGGUUCUCCGUAUCUUAAAAAAACUAUUGGUCACUAAAAAUUAUUGGUGACCAUUUAGAUCUAUUAGUGACUUUUUACCAAAAAAAGUCACGAAAUUGCUUGUCACUAAAACUACAGUUUACUUAUUUUUUAUUAAAUUAUGUAAAGCUAGCUAGAUCUAGAAUAAUUUAUUUAAUGCACUUGGAUGAAUUAUACAUAAUUUUAAAUCAUAUAAAUUCUAAACUUAUAUGGUUGUUGAAAAUAUUUGCAGAUGGUCGAUAAUAGCGACUCACAUGUCAGGGAGAACCGACAACGAGAUAAAGAAUUUAUGGAACACGCACCUAAGGAAACUGCAACCUCCAGUAGAACUUCAGAAAGAAGCUACGUGUUCGAACAUUGAUGCCGUCGAUGAUCAUCACUCUCCUCAGCAGAUUUCUGCCGGGAGCAAUGCAUCAUCGGGAACCAGCUGUGUGGCGGCAGAUCAAGCGAUGUCGAUAAGUAGAUCGGUGGCGCCGACGGGAAAUGAUGAAGUACUUAUUAGCGACGAUUUCUGGUCACAACCAUUUUUGCCUUAUGGGGAAGAUAUUGAUCAGGGUACUGAGGCUUACGGUACCAGUGGGGAUGAGUUCCAAAUGGAACGAGAGAUGCUUUGGUUUUAUCAUGCAUUGAUGAAUUACUCUUAUUAAUUAGGGUUUAAUAUUCACAUAGAGAAGCAGAAAUAGUACUUUAAUUUGAGGACGGUAAAUUUUAACGGCUGUGGGUAAUAAUUAAUAGAAGUAAAUGCUUUUUGCUGUAAUAAUGGACAAGGAUUUGCGCCAUGUGUGGACGGUUAAUUUACUUUUUUAUUACCUUUUAGUAUUUUUGGUGCAUGCAAACUCAGUCAAACGUAACUAUGUUACAAGGUCAGACUACUGAAGACUCCAUUUUAAAGUAAUUAUAUUAAACCUUAUUUUUUACAAAGAGAGUGAGUCUAGAUCGUCCUAAGUGGUAGAAUUGCGUACUGACAAAGAAUUUGAGAGGUAAAAAGUGAACAUUAAGCAUACAUCGGUUCAAGAAAACGAGUCCAACCGGUUCAAGCCCAAGUACACGUACGUGAAAAUGGGCUCCGUUAGGAGGGUGAUCAAGGCUCUAGGGUAAGCUAGUUGCAGGUUGUCGCCCCCGCUAGAUAUAUAUAAGUCAGUGGAGGAAGGGUAGAACUCAUUAAAUAAAUACAUUUUUUACUCAUAUCCUUAAUUAUUAUUCGUCUACUUAGUAGUGUAUCAUUUUGCAACACAAAAAUAAUAACACAAGUGAAUAGUAAGAUGCUGCCUAAGGUCACUAUGACUAGGACCAUACUGUACAAAUCGGUGAUGCUAACGAUAUAAGGUUACUUUUGAGACAAUUACAGAACUGUAAAUUACAAUUGAACACUCAUAUUAAGAUAUAAAUCGAAGAUACUUGAGAUAGACUUGUCUACGGCCAUCCCAAUUCCGGAUAUGAGUUGAAAACUGUACUUAAGACAGACUUGCUGUCUAGCAUGGUUAUCAGUUAAUUAGACACAGCUAAUCACUGCAAGAGGUCAACUAAUUACAUGCAUGAUUCCUUGCCUACGUCAUUCUUCCGACGUCAUUUGUCUGACAUCAUCUGCUUGUCAUGUGGCUUUCACACGGAAAAAGACAAAAAUUUGGAAACAUAAAAUAUCGAAUCAAGUUGAUCAUAGAUUAAUACUGUAAUUACUAUCAUUACUUCAGCAGCCGCCCACGGCGUUCAACGGUUGUUUGUUUGUUUUUUUUAAUAAAGCACACGGCGAGUUGAACGCGGUUGACAGUAUCUAACGAAAGACUGGAGACAACGAUCGAAACAUAAAAUAUAAGCCUCUAGUGUUGAGCUGUUGGGUUACUGCAUCUUCCUCUAAUUCUUAAAUUAUUUCUUUCUGACUUGUGAGAUCCGAAAUUAUAAAGUGAUUCUAGGUGUUCCGGUCUAUAGUGCCGGGUGGUUCAAUAUAGUUCGAUCUGUAGAAUGGUGUUUGGUUGGAUUGGAUAUGUCUACUCUGUGGGUUGUGAUCCACCGAGGAUGUAUAUAGGUUAGGGUAGUAAGAGUAAGCGAGUAUAAGAGAGAAGUUUGGGAAAUGGAUCAGUUAAGUAAUCAAAAGUGAGCCGUCUUCUUAGACAUUAUCAGACGUACUUAUGUAUGGAAUGUAAUAAAUUACGAGAUAUAUAUGUUAUGUAUUUGGUCCCGAAACAUAACAAUAGGAUAUUUUAUAUAUAGUUGUUUCAAAUAUCAGGUUCAAAACUAAUACAUAAUAUUUGAAAAGUAUUGAGAAAAAUGUAACCCGACUAAAAAUUACGAGAUUUAUUAACUAUUUUAUCCAAAUAUAAAAGUCAUAAUUAUCGUUCUAAAUAUCAAUAUCGCGACUAAUGCAUAACAUUUGAAACUGACAUGUAGGUAAUCCGACCCAAACUUACGGGACGUACUCGCUAUUUGACCCAUAUAUAAAUUGCAAACGGCCGUAAGCCGUUAUUAUAUCAAAACGACAAACGGAAAACAAACAAAACGGAGAAAGUACAAGGAAUUUUGUGCCGCCGACCGCCGAUAAAUCAAUCUGAUGUUCUUAUUUUCAGACCGACACACUUUCCCAAUGCACUGCGUAGAACACAGUUGGAACUUUCUCGGGAACAGACUCACCUGCUUCCCAAUUCCAUGGAGUGGGGCCCCAUAUUAUUAUUUAACAGAGACCCGAGGUUGACGACAGUCAAAGUCAACACUACUGCAGCUCCUAUAUAUAAAUACAGUCUGGUUUAAUUUCUCCUCAUCAUUAAUUUUGGAUCCAAACUGACUAAACCAACGAUGGCAAGGACUCCCUACGUUGACAGAAACGGACUGAAGAAGGGGACUUGGACUCGUGACGAAGACGUGAAGCUUGCGGCCUAUGUUUCGAGAUACGGCUGCCGGAACUGGCGUCGGUUGCCUCGAGAUGCAGGCUUGGCGAGGUGCGGGAAGAGCUGCCGGCUCCGGUGGCUGAACUAUCUCCGGCCGGAUAUCAAGAGGGGGAAUUUUACGCAGGAGGAGGAAGCUGCCAUCGUUUCCUUGCAUGAAAAGCUGGGGAAUAAGUAAGUAUAUAUGAUCAUAGUGUUAUCGAUCGAGUUAUAAGGAUGCAAUAGUUUUGAUGAUUGGAUUUUAUACAAAAUCCUAGUGGGCAAUCCUUGUUGGUUUAGGAUUCGGAUUGCCUGCUAGUUAAGAUCACCUCUGGGAUUUCAUCACUUAGAAAAUAUAGUUUUAGGGACCAUAAUUAUACAAAAAUGUCACUAAUUUACUUGUCACUAAAAGUUAUUGGUGACUGAUUUGGUCUAUCAGUGUAUUUUUUUAUUAAAAACGAUUACUAACUUGUUGAUCGCUAAAAUUACUUUUUUUUGGACUUUUAUAAAGUUAUUUCAAUAGGCCAUUACAAACCAAACCCGUUCUUAUGGAAUUUCAUUUGUGGCAGUAUUUAUCGAUAUAUAUGCAAUCCGAAUUAUUGAGAUGUAACCACUCUUCAUAUAAACAUUUUGUUUAAGUCAAUUUUUUCUAACUUAGAUCGAAUCUCAUGUGUAUAUGUUGUUUUCCAACGUUUGCAGAUGGUCAGUAAUUGCGACUUAUAUGCCAGGGAGGACAGAUAACGAGAUUAAAAACUUCUGGAACACACACCUCAAAAGGUUACAGCCUAAGGAAGAACCUUUGGAGUCGAACGUGUCAGAUGAAAACGACCGUCACGUUCUUCUAGGGUCGAAUUUUGGAGCCGGUAUCAAGAAUGAAUUUUCUGAUUUCGAUGAAAUUAGCUCAUGGAUCGAAAAUUACAACGAGGACAUCAAUCACGCCGCUAUUGAAGUGUCUGUGUCACCACAUGAUCUCGAUCAUUACUCUCCUGAUCAUCAUAUGUCCGUCGGGAGCAAUUCCUCGUCGAACUCCGAGACAGAAAUGGCAACAACGGCGGUGGCGUCUAAUGAUGAGUUAGGGGAUCUCAUUAGUGACUAUAUCUUGUCACAACCAUUUUCGACCUAUGAGGAAGUUGAUCAGUACGACACAUGGUGGAGUGAGGUUUGGCGUACCAGUACCAACACUGAUCAAUUCCAGUAUAUAUGAGGAUAUAUAUACUAGUACCAAGUGUUGAGGGUAAUUACUGUUUUUGUAACUUCCUACAAAGCUAGGAAACUAAGUGAAAGAGUCUUGAUUUUACCUUUUACAAAUGUCAAGAGUCUUAUUUUCCGAUCUCAAUGUUUGGAUUGAUGUUUAGUUCUGUUUUUUUAUUUGCAGCUACUUUGAUUUUUCAUGUCAGUAGUAAUACAAAAAAAAUGUCAAGAGUCUUAAUUAAUGUGUUGACUUACUCACGUUUGAUUCUGGGUAGAGAAUCUACAGAACAAGAGUUAGCAGAUGCUCCUGCCCAAGACUUACAUCCUCUGAACUUAGAUCUCAAUCAUUUUCCUAUUUUUAUUGUAUGAAAUCGAUAUUUUUCUGGGUGUAAAUCCUGGUAUUUGACGCAUGGUUCGACUAAUCCAAUCGAGGAUGGUUCUUAGAUUAAAGUUUUACUUCUAUCUUGACAUUGUUACGAAGAAUGGAACAUUGAUGAUGAAUCGUAAUUAGCCCAUUGCUCAGAUUUGUCUCUGAUGGGCUAGAAUUGCACUGAGGAUUUAUCUCUGAUGGGCUUCAGCCUUCUAUUUCUGUAUCAUUGUCGGCCCAUCAAUCCUCAGCCGCCGUCGAUGCCAUUCUCCUUUCCUUCUAAUGCCGUCAUCUCCAACCUCCGGUCAGAUCUCCACCGCUCGGCGCGACCACCUAACCCAAUUACUUGUCGGAGCAGCAGGAAAAUAACGGAGUAAACGGGCAAAGAUGAAAAUAGACGAGUCUAUUGACGGCGGCGGUAAAUUCUAUAUCCGAUAGCAAUCAGAAGCUCAGUAUCUCCGCUCUUUCUUUGCUCUGCUGUUCACUCUUCUUCGUUAGAUUCCUGCAAUUAAAUUUGAAUGUUUUUCCCUUACUAUUCAGCCAGAUUCUCCAUGUUAUAUUUAUCUAGAAUCAAGAAAUCGUUGAUUCCCUCAUCUGUUUUCACGAUUUUUACUGAUAGGCAGCCUAGGUUCUAUAGAAAUUUAACAAUGGCUUCCGGUUGUGGAAAUGAUUUGGUCACUUACGGCCAAAUUUCUCAAGCAGCUAGAAGAAAAGCUCGUAAGAAAGCUCAAGCUGCAUUGCUGGACUACUUGCAUUCAACUAGGAGCUUACAAUUUCUCGACGCAGACAACAUAAGCAAGAACUCACCUCAGUUCCUGGAGAAAAUACUUGCUCGGAUCGAUUACUCCGAGCAAGAUAUCGACAGAUCUAUCAGACGGUUCCUGCGGUAUCACCCUGUGAAUGAAUUCGAGCCGUUCUUCGAGAGUUUGGGUUUGAAUCCAGAUGACUACCCCUGCAUUCUUCCUGAACACAUGAUGUUUCUGAGCGAUGAUAGCUUGCUCCUUGAGAAUUAUCAUGUCUUGUGUGAAUAUGGGAUACCUAGAGAUAAGAUUGGGAAGCUUUUCAUCCGAGUUCCUGAGAUUUUUCGGCUUGAUCAUGGAGUCUUGGCAUCUAAACUUAAAGCAUGGGAAUGUGCAGGAAUCAGCAGGUAUUUUAUGGAUAAGGUAAUAGCUUCUAGCCCUCGUGUUUUGAUUGGAAAUGCUCAUGUUGACUUUAUUAGUGUGUUGACCAUUCUCGGAAAGGGCGGUCUUUCGUUAUCUUGUGUCGAAGAACAUCUACCGGAGAAUAUAGAUUGCACUUGGAGCCAGAUUCUAUCACUUGUCAAUUUGUUGCUGAAGCAUGGUUUAUGUGAAGAGCAAUUAUGCUCUCGGAUAGAUAUUUUAUUCGAGGAGCAGAAAAUACUGUCGGUUAUCGUGUUCUUGACGAAAUUUGGCACCCCAUUGCAUCAAGCUUGUGCAGUCAUUUUCGAGAAUCGAGGAAUUGAGAUUGGGAAGUUUCUGUCUAGUAUGAGACAGUGCUUUGUGUUCUUCAAUGAGAUUGACAUGGAACCGUUCGAGAUUGGGAAGAUUAUACGUUCUCGCCCGUUACUAUUAGGUUCAUGUACGUUGAAGAAAACCAGCACCUUGUUAUCUCGUCUGAAAUCUGGAAAGCUGAGGCUUUGUGAAGCGAUUCAGAAGGACCCUUUUCAGUUGAGGAAUUGGGUGAUUGGGGGUGAGAGCUGGUUUGAGUGAAGAGGAUGUUUGUGAAAUGAUCAAGGCGUGUCCUCUGAUUCUUAACCAGUCGAAGGAGGUUAUCGAAAUGAAGAUUCGUUUCGUUGUGAAUGAUUUGGGGUAUCCCGUGUCGUGCUUGGUUGGUUAUCCGAAGUUUUUGGUCCGUGCAGAGAAGUUUGUGAAGGUUAGGUUGUGUAUGUAUAAUUGGCUUAGAGAUCAAGGAGUCGUUGAUCGAAUUCUGGCUUUAAGUACUGUUCUUAAUUCGUCCGAGAGAUUGUUUGUUAAGCGGUAUGUGAACAUUCAUCCCAGAGGGCCAGAAGUGUGGCAGGAACUGAAGACGGAAAUCUAUGGUGGCUGAAAGGCUACUGUGUAAGUUGAACAUAACUGUAGGAAUGUCAAUAAUGUUUUCCAAACUCUUUAUAUGCAAAAUUAACCAACAUUGGGAUAUUAUUUUGUUGUCAGAAGCCAUAUAUAAUGUUGAUAUUGAGGAAGCAGUGAGCUACAAGAUCGAUCCGGUCAACAAAAAGGCAUACUGUCUACCGAGCAAGGCUCGGAAUCUAGGUGGCGGUGAGAACUGAGUUCGAAAUGGACUCCAAUGUGUUGGCUGGUGUAGGACAACAUGCUCAUUUCCUCAAGGUAUAGAACGAAUCCUGUGGAAUGAAAGUACGAGACUGAAUCAAUCUAAGAUUGCCUCUUUUCAUGAUACUUGGUGACUGAUGAUCACAGGAAGUUGACAGAUGCUCCCCAAGCUCGGGAGGUCUGUCAUCGACUGCUACGAGCCGGCCAGCCUCCAUUACAUUUAAGGUAAGGUUUAGCUCAAUAAUUUCUGGUAUGAAGCUCUCAUCCUGUUAUUUUUUCCCAGGAAGAAGUGCAUGCCAUAUUCAAAACACAGAGCUCGAAAAAGAAGAAUUCAAUUAUAAAAUUUAAUAAGAAUUAUAGUUGGACCUUAUUGCUUUAUCAUUCUUAUUUUUCUAUCGAUUGCUUAAUCCAAAUGUGCCCUAAUCAACUACCAAACACCAUUUUCGUUGUUAUUUCAGUUCCUAUCUGAUAAUGAUGUUGUCUUACGUUAGUUGGUUGCCUGGUUGGUGGUGUUAGCUCAAGUCCAACGAAUAAUCUGUCUUAAUUUAACCAGAUCGAUUCAUAAUUUGUUUAUCGAACAACUUGAUGGAAUUCACUUAUAGGAUGGAUGAGCUAUAUUUUGUUAUAAAAAAGAUUAUAAAAUUACAAUCGAUAUAUAAAAAACUAAAAUGAACCCGCUUAUUACAUCAGCUCAUCCAGUAAAGAAAACGUGUACUGGCCGACAGAGACUACCCACUGACAUUCAACACGGGUUAAUACUACUGUCGUCUGGUUCGAGUAAAUGUGCGCACAUGUCUUUUGCAGCCCAACCAACCCACCUAACCAUCACCGAAAACUCUACUCGAACCAAAACUCAAGCGAGAAAUGUCCCACUCAUGAUUCAUUUUGUAAAAACAUACGUCGAUUUCACCUCGAUGAGUGAGACAAGAUAAUAGUAGUUUGAUUUGGAGAGCUGAUUUAGAUAUAUCAUUGCCAUCGGUGAAUCCAGUUGAAUCUGUUGGAAUGUGUACCUUGAACAGUAGGCUACAACUAUAUCGUGAUAUAGAAAAAAGAAAAUUUUCGCCGUUUCUAGUGAGGAAGAAGACGGCGACACGCCAAUAUAUCGCGAUUUGUUACCGAAAAAUUAACGAUAAAGCAGGCGAUGAUGAUGAUGAUGAAAAAAAUGUUAAUGGUGCAGUAAGUGUUGCUAUACUAUUACCAAAUAUUUGAUUAAGGUUAGAUUUAUUUACAAUUUGAUACUUCUGAUAUAAACAACUUUUAAAUAUAUAUAAAUUUUUAGAAUAAAUAGCAAAAUUGAUCCUUAAUAUUUUAAUAUAUAUUAUAUUUUAACAAGUUAGAUUUUGAUAUUAAUUAAAUUCUUUAUAUUGUCGGUAUAAUCUAGUUUUAUCACUAACUUAUAAAUUAUGGUAUUUUACAAUUAAUAUAUAUUUAAUAUUACAAACAAUUAAACCGAUAUAAAACUGCGGCUGAACCAUCAAACCUUUUACUACUAAACUUUCCGAUAUAAUAUUCGUCACGAUUCUAACAACAUUAUAACUAACACGUAAAGAAGGAAUCUAGGAGAGUCACGACAACAACCACUACCACCGCCGGCCUAGCUACUGCAACAAAGUUUGAAAAUGGUGGCCAAAGCACAACGUAACCAAACUAACUACCCACCUCAAAAAGAAGUUGGUGUGGUAGUUAUCUUAUCCAGUCGUGCCAACUACUCUCAUUUCCAAUCCCCAUUACCUAAAAAGUCGUCAUAUUUAAUUUCAGCAACCUUCACUUCCACAAAUGGACCAUCACCUUCACUAAGCUUCCUUGGCUUCCUUCCUCCUUUCCUAGCUAAAUCUCUCUAAUUCUCAAAUCGUCUGAUAAAGUAUUUUAGAGUUGUGUGUGAGCGAUUCGGAAGUACUGGAUUUCAAUCCAAUACAUCUUACAAACGGACAACAAUCUUGUACCGACCUGGAGGUUUGAAAUUUUAUAUGUGAUACUAUCAGUGUUGUUUAGGAUUCAACCGCUAUAAAAUUUUGAAUCAUCGAUUAGAUAUGUCUAAGAAAUCUUCUUAAAAUUUCUUUCAGUUUCAUGUCUCGUUGAAAAUGAAUAAAACUUUAGAAAUAUUCUAACAUCAUAACCUUGAAUCUCCAUUAAAAUGUUUAUUUGAAAAUUUUUCAUUUGAUAUCGUUAAGCCAUUAAAAUCUUCAUAACUGUUACAUAUUGUUUUUUCUAUUUAGACCUACGUAAUCAUUUCAUGUUAAUUUUUCGUUCAUUAAACUCAAAAAAUGAAAUAAAAAUUCAUAGUAUUGACUUAAUAAAAACUCGAACCAUGAGAUUGACACAUGCGAUGUUGUACUGAUGAUUACUUAUAAUGUUUGAUUUCACAUAGUAAAUAUGACUAGUCAUUUGAAACCGAGUUUGGUUUUGAUUCCGGUCAGUGUUUGGUAUGACAUCCGGUUCGAUUCGAACCAUAUUAAUCAAUGCUUUUAGGUCCCUAUUGUACUAUGUUUAAAAGCUGGCACACAACUCUGUUACGUUUACAUCCACCAUCCAUUAUAUUCACGGAACCGAAUCAAACAGAGGAAAGAAACAAUUUUUCUCUGAUGGAAGAAGCCAAAAUUGUUGCGGCACCGCUGAUCGGAAUCCUUGCAUGGGCGGCGUACAAGUCCCUCCGAGCGCCGCCACCGAAGAUUCCGGGAACUCCGGGAGGACCUCCGGUGACCGCAUCCCGAAUGAAGCUCCGGGACGGCAGACACCUCGCUUACCAGGAAAACGGCGUACCAAAAGAAACCGCCAAAUUCAAGAUUGUCUUCGUUCACGGAUUCACCUCUAACCGCCUCGACCCGAUGAUCGUCACCAAUCUCUCUCCGGUAAUCCAUUCGUCUCUCCAGCUUCCGAUCAAACUUCUGUGAAUUAUUGAUUGUAAAUUGGGUGGGGGGGAUUUUUAACUGCAGGAAGCUGUGAAAGAGCUUGGAGUGUAUGUGGUGACAUUCGACCGCCCGGGUUACGGGGAGAGCGACCCGGAUCCGACCCGGACGCCGAAGAGCUUGGCUCUGGACAUUGAAGAGCUAGCGGAUUAUCUCGGGCUCGGAUCGAAAUUCUACGUGGUGGGUAAAUCCAUGGGCGGUCAGGUUCUUUGGGGUUGCCUGAAGUACAUACCUCACAGGUAAUCAAAUAUUAAAAUUGAUUGAUUUUGGAGCUUAAAAUUUUCAGGACUCUGUUUUUUCUGAAAAUCCUCUGUUUUUUUAUUAGGCUGGCAGGAGCGGCGUUAGUGGCGCCGGUGAUCAAUUACUGGUGGCAGAGCUUCCCCAAGGAGCUAGCAAAGGAAGCUUACAAUCAGCAGCUUCCUCAGGAUCAAUGGGCGCUGAGAAUCGCCCAUUACGCACCCUGGCUGACGUACUGGUGGAACACGCAGAAGAUUUUCCCUUCGUCGGCGGUGAUCGCGCGGCGGCCGGAGACCCUGUCGGCGCAGGAUAAGGAGCUGAUAGCCAAGCAGGGCGGCGAAGGGCGGUAUCUUAAGGAAGUGGCGACUCAGCAAGGGGAGCAUGAGUCCUUACACAGGGACAUGCGGGUCGGGUUUGGGAAGUGGGAGUUCGACCCGAUGCAGAUGGAGAAUCCGUUUCCCGGCAAUGGAGGGUGUAGGGUGCAUCUGUGGCAAGGGGAUGAGGAUAAGAAAGUUCCGGUGCAGUUGCAGCGGUUCAUUGUGAAGAAGCUGACGUGGAUUAAGUACCAUGAGUUGCCCGGUGCGGGACAUGCGUUGCAUUUUGUUCCCGGGAUGAUUGAAGGCGUUCUUCGGGCUCUGUUGGUCGGAGAAGAUAAGUAGCGACAGACGCCGGCGGCGAGGAUGAGGAAAAAUUGAAGGCGUAUAGAGAUGUUAUUUGGGUUUGUGUAUUUUCAUAUUUUGUUUAUUUUUCAUUCUCAUCCUUAUUUGUAUAAUAUUGAAAUUCAAUAAUAUUUGAUGUGUCAAAUCGAGAGUUUAAGUAAAGCACAACAGCCUAAUUAUUUACAACUGCGGUUAUUCAGUUUAAUCAAAUUCGUGAUUGAAUUCAGAUAAACCGCAACCCAAAAGGGAGUGUAUUGUGAAAUCGAAAUGAAAUUUUGGCCUAAUCCGGUUAAUUAAAAUUGGUUAUGUAAUUGGUUAACAUGUACAAGAUCAGAAGUUCAAAACGAAAUCAAUUACAGUAAACCUAAAUUAGUCAUUUCCAGUGCGGGCAUGAUCAUGAGUUCGAAUCAAAUUCAAAAUCGAUACAUUUAACCAAUUUAGAUCGAAUUACCGGCCCUACUCACAAUUAUGACAUUGGCCAAGUUUAGAGUUGAAUUUAUGAAAGACCAUUGUAAAUGACAUACUCCAGCAAU